rnacentral:lncRNA from 1 species
GUACGGGGACUCAGGUAUGUUUACUAUUCCCUGUAGGAUAGAUAAUACUGUGAUCAGAAGGCCAUGUUGGAUCUGGGAGCAUCGAUUAAUGUCAUGCCUAAAUCUAUCUAUGCUUCUUUGAAACUAGGUCCAUUAAAAGAAACUGGAAUAAUUAUUCAAUUAGCUGACCGAACUAAUGCAUAUCCUGAUGGGUUGAUUGAAGAUGUGUUGGUAAAGGUCAAUGAUUUGGUGUUUCCAGCUGAUUUUUAUGUACUUGAUAUGGAUGAUGAUCACUCCCCUGAUCCCUCACCUUUGUUAUUGGGUAGACCUUUUAUGAGCACAGCACAGACGAAAAUUGAUGUUAAUAAGGGUACCUUGUCCAUGGAGUUUGAUGGGGAAAUUGUGCAUUUUAACAUUUUUGAUACUAUGAAGUACCCCUCGAACUCCAACUUUAGCUCAAUUUUUUCUGUGAGUGCUAUUGACCCUGUAGUGCAGGAAGUGUUUGAAACUGAUGGCAGGGAUGAGUUGGAAGUGGCUUUAACCAAGCACCUCGAGUUGGAGACAACUCCUCAGGUGGAGUGGAGUGAGGAUUUAAAAUGCACAAUAGAUGCAUUACACUCAUUGCGACCCCACGAAAAGGUAUGAAAUCUUACCUAUUUUUACUCCCGAGCCUCACCAGAGCGUAUUGCCAUCUGUGGUGUAGGCACCUGUACUGGAGUUGAAACCUCUACCAGAGCACCUGAAAUAUGCAUAUUUGGGUGAUAAUGAGACACUCCCGGUGAUUAUCUCAUCGGCACUGUCAAAAAUCCAGGAGGAGAAACUGAUCCGGGUCCUUAGAGAGCAUAAAGAGGCGAUAGGUUGGACAAUUGCAGACAUUAAGGGGAUCAACCCGGCCGUCUGUAUGCAUCGGAUUAGACUAGAAGAGGAUGCCAAACCUGUACGACAGGCUCAAAGGAGGCUCAAUCCCCUCAUGAUGGAAGUUGUAAAGAAAGAAAUCUUAAAAUUGUUAGAUGUGGGGAUUAUUUUUACAAUAUCAGAUAGCCCUUGGGUGAGCCCGGUCCAGGUAGUCCCAAAGAAGGCAGGAGUGACUGUAGAGGCCAACCAAACGGGUGAACUCGUGCCAGUGCGCAAACCCACUGGAUGGAGGCAAUGUAUAGACUACCGUAGGCUAAAUGCCGUCACAAAAAGGACCACUUCCCUCUCCCUUUCAUUGACCAAAUGGUUGAACGUUUAGCUUGUAGGGCUUAUUAUUGCUUUUUGGAUGGAUUUUCAGGAUACUUUCAGAUAGCAAUUGCCCCGAAGGAUCAAGAGAAGACAACCUUCACGUGCCCGUUCGGGACCUUUGCCUACAGACGAAUGCCAUUCGGGUUAUGCAAUGCACCUGCAACAUUUAAGAGGUGUAUGGUAAGUAUUUUUUCUGAAUAUGUGGAGAAAAUUAUUGAAGUUUUCAUGGACGAUUUCAGUGUAUAUGGUGAUAGUUUUGAUACGUGUCUAGAUAAUCUGAAAUUGAUCUUGAUAAGGUGUAUAGAGACUAAUCUUGUGCUUAAUUGGGAAAAAUGUCAUUUUAUGGUUGAGCACGGGAUAGUCAUGGGUCAUAUUGUAUCGUCUAAGGGCAUAGAAGUUGACAAGGCUAAAAUAGACAUUAUUUCUGCAUUACCUUACCUCGCGAGUGUGCGGGAGGUGCGUUCUUUUCUUGGACAUGCAGGUUUUUAUCGAAGGUUCAUCAGGGACUUUUCAAAAAUUGGAGCCCCGUUGUUCCAACUCCUACAAAAGGAUGUGACCUUCGAAUUCAAUGACAAAUGUGAGAAGGCCUUCGACAAGUUGAAAGAAUUGUUGACUUCACCCCCAAUCAUCCAGCCCCCUGACUGGAGUCUACCAUUUGAGAUUAUGUGCGAUGCCAGUGAUCAUGCUGUAGGGGCUGUAUUGGGGCAAAGAGUAGGGAAGGCAGCUCACGUCAUCUAUUAUGCAUCCCGAGCAUUGAAUGGAGCCCAGUUGAAUUACUCCACCACUGAGAAGGAGCUUCUUGCAGUUUUUUGCUUUAGAAAAAUUCAGGUCAUAUUUGCUAGGUGCUAAAGUAAUUGUAUUUUCUGACCAUGCAGCAUUAAGGUACCUAAUGACCAAGAAAGAUGCAAAGCCGAGGCUCAUCAGGUGGAUAUUGCUACUACAGGAAUUUGACCUGGAGAUAAGAGACAAAAAAGGCUCAGAAAAUCUAGUAGCAGACCAUUUAAGUCGCAUACCAAUUGGGGAGGAUAAUAAGCCAUUGAAGGAUGCAUUCCUUGAAGAGCAUUUAUUUUCCUUAAAUUCUCAAUUGUCUUGGUAUGCUGAUUUGGUCAAUUAUCUAGUAACGGGUGAUUUUCCUGCAGGUUGGCCAAAAUCGAAAAAGGAUAAAUUGAAAAGUGACGCCAAGUAUUUCAUCUGGGACGACCCGUACCUAUGGAAGAGAUGUGCCGACCAAAUAAUGAGGAGAUGUGUAAGUGAAGUGGAAUUUCAAUCAAUUUUAGCUUUUUGCCAUACUUUUGCCUGUGGAGGUCAUUUUGGACCUAAGAGAACUGCUCAGAAGGUUUUAGAAAGUGGAUUUUAUUGGCCUUCACUGUUUAAAGAUGCCUAUGUGUUUUGUAAGUCCUGUGAUCGCUGUCAACGGGUAGGUAAUAUAGCCCGAAGGAUCAAAUGCCCCAGGUCUCGUUGAUUUUUAUUGAAAUUUUUGAUGUCUGGAGUAUAGAUUUCAUGGGGCCUUUUCCUACUUCAUUUGGUUUUUAUAUAUUUUGCUGGCAGUUGAUUAUGUGUCUAAAUGGGUGGAGGCUAAGGCCACUCGAACUAAUGACUCGAAAGUAGUUGCAGAUUUUAUCAGGUCUAAUAUUUUUGUGCGAUUUGGAAUGCCUAGAGCUAUUGUCAGUGAUAGGGGAACGCACUUUUGCAACAAAACCAUAGCUGCGUUGUUUCGCAAGUAUGGUGUACUCCACAGGGUCUCAACGUCAUACCACCCUCAGACCAAUGGUCAAGCGGAGGUGUCGAAUCGGGAGAUUAAGACCAUUUUAGAGAAAAUGGUGCGCCCUAAUAGGAAAGAUUGGAGCCAAAGGUUGGAGGACGCACUCUGGGCCUAUCGGACGGCGUACAAGACUCCUAUAGGGAUGUCACCGUACAUGUUGGUAUUUGGGAAGCCGUGUCACCUUCCAGUGGAGUUCGAGCACAAGGCUUUUUGGACGAUAAAGCAAUGUAAUAUGAAUCUAGAAGAGGCCGGUGUUCAACGGAAGCUGGAUUUGCAAGAAUUGGAGGAGAUCCUGAACGAAGCAUAGGAAAACGCCUUGAUUUAUAAGGAGAAAAACCGGGCAUUUCAUGACCUACAAAUUUCAAGAAAAACAUUUGAAGUUGGUCAGAAGGUACUCCUGUACCAAUCCAGGCUCAAGCUAUUCCCAGGUAAGCUACGUUCCCGUUGGAUUGGACCUUUCAUUGUUACUCACGUUUUUCCAUAUGGUGCAGUUGAGAUCCGAAGUGCUAAGACAGCUAACAAAUUUGUGGUGAAUGGACACCGUCUCAUAUAUUAUUACGAAAGAUUUUCGGAUAGAGAGGUGGAGACAAUAAGGCUUGACGCACCACCGUGUCCUAAUCAGUGACACUUUACCAUGUCUAGCCAAAAACAUUAAAGAAAGGCGCUCAUUGGGAGGCAACCCAAUUGUUCUUUUUAGUUCGUUGUUCAAUUUCGUGUAGUAGUUUAGAAGUGUUCUCCUGGUUGUUCGACUGAUUUUGGGGUUUCAGUUUUCGUUUUUGCUGAUUUAUAGGUGCUCUUGCCCUCAUGACGUGCCCGCGUGGUGAUGUGCAGGACGCUCACGAUCAGGAACUUCUGAAACUUCUGGGAGCUCUCUUGCCCUCUUGACGUGCCCGCGUCACGUUCGCGGGAAAGGUAAGGAUUCAAAAAAAAAAUAGAAAAAAUUAUUAUUAUUAUUUCAUUUAUUCAAAUAAUAACAAAAAUAAAAAAAGGAAAAAAAAUCAAGAGCAAGAAAAAUUUUUUCCUCUUAACCGUAGCAAUUUCUUUUAUUUCAAAAAGAAAGAAAAAAAAAACACACACACACGAGAGUUCCUUUCUUUUUCUUUCUUCUUUUCCCUUUCUUCUUCUUUCUUUCUUUCUCUUUUCUUUCUUUCUCCCCUGCUGCUCCCUGCUCUCUGCGCACGCCACAGCCAAAUCCAUUUAUCGCCAUUGCCGCCGCGCGCUCGACCAGCCCAAGCCGCCGCCAUCGUUGCUAGAGUCGCGCGCCGCUGCUGCUCUGCGCGCCUCUCGCCAUCGCCACCUGCCAGCAAGUCUGCCCGCGCGCCGCCGCCAGUCAGCAGAUCUCUCUCCCCAUCGCCGUCCGCGAUCUACCACUGUUGCCACCACAGGUCAACCGCGCCACAGCGCUGCCGCUGCUGUAGUUCCGGCGCAGCCACCACCAGCCGCCGAGCGACCCACUGAGCGAGUCGACGCCCGCGACCCAGCGCGCCACCAAGCCGCGGCCCAUCCUCUGCGCCGCCGCUGCCAAAGUUCCAUCGUCGCCCACGCGACUCCCACCGCACUUGGCAACGAGCCCACGGGCACGCGCAGCAACCUCUGUCCGGCAACCGUGCUCUGCACAUGGACACCACCAGCUGCACCUCCGCCUCUCUGUCUGCCGCCUGGAGUAGUCCCAGUGGAGCUAACUGUGGGAGAAAUGGUCCGACCAAAGUCAUCAUCUAGGUCUAGGGCCUCUCGUUCUCAGCCCCUCCACAGGCCUCUAUUCCAGUCAACUCACCUACCAACCUACCCUCCUCUUCUAGUGUUCGAACCCGUUUGGGUAGGGGUAGGGGUAGGGGUGCGCAGGUAGAUACCCCAGUUCACUUUGGGGGCACCUAAACUUCACUAGACCCGCCGAUCAGGAGCGAUAUGCUAAGGUCUGCGAGCGGCGGAUUACACCAAGCAAGACUUGGGAAAAAUUAACCGUCAUGGGUCUAGGCAUACGAGAGGAGGUCGAGCAGAUGUUUACAGCUAUCGGGUGGCGCUCAUAUCUCGAUAUCUUAUGCCCCGCCUUUGUCGAGCUGACUCGGGAGUUUUACUCCACCUUUGAGUUCGAGUUACCUACGAGAUACACCGUUGACACACCACAGGUCAUUCAUUUCCGGCUCAUGGGUCGAGAGUUCAAUUUCUCCAUUACCCAAUUCAAUCGGGCAUUUGGGUUUAUCACUAGAGAGUAUGCUAGGACUAGGGAGUAUGCAGAGAGUGCUUGUGACUACGUUGAGCCGUUCCUCUCUCACUACCAUGAUGUGUGGGAAGACAUGUCCGUCGAUCAGCAGCGCUACGAUCCUUCCCGGUCUAGGAGCUCCUUUCUUAAGGACCCUAGUGCCCGCUAUGUUCAGCGUUUCUUAACCUACAGCUACUCGGGGCGCAAGGACAGCUCUGGCAUACUCUCUCGCCCUGAGUUCUUCUUCCUCUGGAGUAUGAUGAACAAUAUCAAGGUUAAUUUGGGGUGUUGGUUGGCCGCACAGUUCAAGACCGUCUUGGCCAAAAAGAACAAACCCCUUAUCCUUGGGUCCUAUAUCACUCACUUGGCGAUACAGUUGGGGGUUCUUAACCUGGAGGACCACGACCUGCAUUUGGCGUGCGAGAUGGAGCUCUUGGACGUAGACUGCUUGGAGAGGAUGGGAGUCAUUGAGCGCCUGACUGAUGGUUCCUACCAGUUCACCCCCCGGGACCACUUAGAGCUCCGGUGCGCAUCAUUCGUCCCGGGCAGGGCCCUCCUCCUUUCCUGGAUCAGCCGAGAACACAGUUGGGCCAUCUUCUUCUACGCCACCUCCACCGCAUGGGACUACUGAAUGGCAGCAACUCCGGGAGCAGGUUCAGACUUUGCAGGCUCGGAUGAUCAACGUUGACGCCAAUGUCGCCGGCAUAGCCCAGAAUUUGGCGCAGUUUCUGAUGCAUACAGGCUUUGCACCCCCGUUUCCACCUCGCCCUCCGCUAUGACCCGAUUUCAGGGAAGUUUGGCUGAUCCCCUGACACUUUUGCUUCAAUUUUGGUUUUUAUUUGUCACAUUGAGGACAAUGUGUCUAUAGAUGUGGGGGGAGGAUCUAAGGGGGUGGGUGCUAGUGUUUUCCGUUUUUAGUAAAAAAAAAUAAAAAUAAAAAAAAAGAAAAAACAUGUAAGUUUCUAGUUCUUAGUAGUUUCUCUUAGUUUUAUUUCCAGUUGCUCGUUUUCGUUCUUUCUUCUUGGUGCUUACCUCUCAUGUGAAUGUUAAAAUUGAUGUGGAAUUAUUGACUCCAAGUCUACUUUUGCCAAGUUUUUUAAAAUACAAAGGUAUCGGGUUGAUGUGGUUGGAUCCGAGAUAUCUCCUUGGUGAAUAUCGGAUUGAUUGGCUCUUUUGAUUUCUGUGUUAACUUUUCUAGACGUUGGGAAUGACUGUUGGCAUUUUAAUGUGAACUGGUCCAAUAUUGACUCCAGUUCUCUAUGUUUGGCAAUAAUGAGGCGAGCUGUUCCUAUUUUUGGCUCUUAGUGUUGUUAUUAUGUGUUUUUUGGCUUUGUUUGGCUGUGAAUAAUCUGGACUGUACUCCGCUAUGAGUUACUACUGAGUAGCCAGGGAUCGGCACCUCAAAGUGUCGAUUAUCGCGUCAAAAGGUGGUACUUUAUAUGAGUAUGUGGUCGUAUAGCGGUAGGAGCUGAGUAACCGGGCUCCUUCAUCUAAAAGUGUGGGAGUUCGCGUCAAAAGGCCCAACGGCUAACGAUUAAGUUUUUUUGUGUUAAGUAUUAAUUGUUGUCAAAAAAAAAAAGAGAGAGAAUAAAUAAUGGGAAGGCUUGCCGAUUUAUGGACUUAAUAUGGAGAGUUGUGUGAAUAUUUGGACCAUUAGCUGAUAAAUGUUGUGCGCCAUUCCUUUUUCUUAGAGUAGUUAACCUGGAAAUUGAAGGAAUUUGCAGUUUAGGGGCUAACCGGGGGGGAGGCUUCUUGGAUUUUAAUCACCGAUGCUCGAUAUAUGUUUUUCUCUUGAAUAUCUUGGCCAAUAUAGGAGAUUGGGCAAUGGCCAUCAUCGAAUUUUGGUGUUCGUUUACUAUUCUUAUGCUUGAGGACAAGCAUGGUUUAGGUGUGGGGGGAAUUGAUAUGUUGCAAUUUAUUCAUUUAUUUUAUUAUUAAUUCCUCCUAUUACCUGACUUGAUGUGGAUUUAUUUGCUGGAUUCUACUCAUUUUUAGUAUUUGACGUUAUUUCAGGGAGUAGAAUAUAAAUAUGAUAACAGGUGUCAAAUUGGCAGAAAAGAGAAUUCAGAUGAUUAAGCUUGUGCCCAGAGGCACUUUUGGAACAGAAGAUGUCACGCCCAUUUUGGUAAUUUUCGCACAAGGAACGACGGACGGAGGGCUUCUCUUCCUGUUGAUGUGCCGCAAUUAAAGAAAGAGAAGGAGGAGGAAGUUGGAUAGUUUUUUUUUCCUUAGUUCUGGCCGGCUGAAGCUUAGGAGGAAAGCUUGACUUUGGUCUUCCCUGGGACUUACUUUUGAGCUUUAGAAAACUAGAGAAAAAGCAUUUGUUAGCUUUGAGCUUUGACUUUUCUUCUUUUAUUUUGAAUCCUGCGCAUGGCUGGAACAAGAGGAAUUACUUCCUUUGACCCUUCUUUAGCUUAUUGUAGCUUCUGGUCUCCACGCAUGUUAGGAGCAAAAAGUUGGAGCCCACCUUCUUUAACUUUUCCACCUUGUUUCUCUUGAGUGGCCCUGCCCCACGGAUGCUAGCAACAAUAAAGAAACUCAAUUGUCACUUGUAAUUGUCGCGUGCCUUAUAUAAGUGUUCGACGAAUUGCGGAUUCCUAAGAUGCAGACUAAGGCGUGACUCUGGCUGAAAUUUCCUGCGGGCUUAGUUCAACCAAUAUGCUAAUCCCCUCAUUCUAGUCAAGAAACGACGGAUGCUUUGAUUCGCCUAAAAAUUGUGAGAUCGAUUUAAUUUAAUCUUUCCCUUUUAUUUAUUGGUAUUCGUGUAUUCCUUGUUUGCUACGCUUAUUGGUUAUUCAAUUAAUUGAUUGUCAUGGAUCCGGAUAAUUAAUUGAUCUGAUAGCCUAUUGUCAACUAGGACAUUUAAAUCCGUAAUUGUUUGAUUGUCCUGAAUUAGUGACGACUGGCACGAUUAGCUUCGUGUCAGGGAAUACACGGGCUAACUUAAAAUAACCAUGGUAGUGUGUUAUUUGGUUAGAAUAGGGCUCUUCUAAUACGUAAGGCAGUUGGGAAAUUAAAUCUUACGGGCGUACCUAGGAUUAUUCCCCAAUUAGAGCAGUGAUUAACGGGCGUACCUUGAUCACCGACACAGUAAGGAGGGGUUGACUGCCAUCGCUUGCUUGGUAGUUAUAACCUAUUUAUUGAUAAGUAAUUGGGAUUGCCUUUGUUUCGAUGAUCAAUUAGGUGAACCAUUGCUGAAGUUAUUUCUUGGCUAGAUCUUUAAUUAAUAUUAUCUUGAUUGUAGUGAAUUGCCAUUCGGCUUUUUGGUUGUCUACGUUAUUUCCUUUUUAAUUGUUUCCUUGUUUUAAUUGAUUUAGGCCUUUAAUUCUUGUUAUCCUGAGUUCAGUAAAUUGUGGUUUAAUUUCUAAUUAGUUGUUUAUUUUUAUUUUUCUCAUUGGAAUUUUAGUUAAUUAUCGUCGUUCCUACAAAAUCAUCCCCUGUGUUACUUUGGAUUUCUUAAGAAACAAAUAUACCCAGUCUCUGUGAUACGACCCUACUUGCGCCUGUCUACAAUUCAUAAUUAUUUGUGAAAAGGAAUAACCAUUCCAUUCGGGUAUAUCGGAUCAAGCAAAUUCUUCGGAAUAGGGUGAAUCAAGUAACCCAUUGCACACCUAGAGUCCCUGCUCCAGUACUUGGAAUUGGGUUUUGGUCAUUUUAACUGGCAAUUAGGUUUAACUUUAUUAUUGCACAGGUUUCGACAACCUGUCAAUAUAUGACUAUCAUUUUUUGAUGUAUAAAAAUGUACAAACAAAUAUUUUUGUUUAAAGUCUUCGUUUAAAUAGAAUUAAUAUUCUUAUGGAAGAAAUAGCAAGAGAAGUCAGACAUUCAAAUUAGAUAGAAGUGUAUAACGUGAACAAGCAUAUUGAUUAUAACAUAUUUGUGUUGGAAAUUUUGCCUUAAAUUUAAGUGUUCUUCAUAUGCAUUUUCCUAAGCUUAAUUAAUACAUUCAUUCCCUUUUAGAUUCAUUCUUGUAUUCAUGUACCUUCUAGGAUUCAUUCCUUUUAGAUUCAUUCUUAGAUUCAUGUUCCUCUUAGAAUUUACUAGUUCUUUCAUAUAACUUCUAAAUUCAUGUACUUUGUAAUAAUGAUGGUACAUGCAUCUCUAUUCUUGUGUUCCUAUAAAUAGAGGAUUUGGAUUUUCAAUGUAAAAGUAAAUUCUAUUUUUAUUCCUCCUUCUUACAUGUAUUUUUAUUCUUUUCGGAUCACACUUUGGUUCCAAGUAAUCCAUUACAAGGUCAAAACUUGAUUUGUGAAUACACGCGAUCGAUGCUAGUCGUUGUUCUAUCUUGGAAAGUGACCACUUAGUGACCCAUAUUGCACCAUGGACAUAUUCCUGUGGGAGUAAGAUCACUUUUACGGGCAAUAGGGUAUCCUACAUUUUGAUUUUCCUUCUAGUCGUCAAUUACUCUAUUUCUUUGAAUUCUUUUCCUAAAUCAGAGUACUUGCAUUCUAACAAUUUGAAUCUUAUGAAGUUCCACAUUUUACAUUAGUGAUUUUGCAGAGUGCCCUAUAUAUAGGACCACAAGUCAAUACUAUAAACAAAGCCAAAUAGUAUGUGAACAAAAGGUCAUGGAAUAAGUGACCACGUUAAGGAACAUGUAUCUGCCACCAAGUGGUUCCGGCAAUAGCAUUCUAGGUGGAAGGUCACCUGCUUUUGAUGGAGAAAUCAACUCACAAGUAAACCAAACCCCACCAUCAUAUCCACACCUAAAUUUACUCCUACUAGAAGUUAUUAGUGUGAAUUAAUUAAUACUUUGUUUUUUCCUAAUUUCUUUUUAUUGAAAAAAAAAUUAAACAUGGUUAACUCUUAUUUGUCCUUUCGAUUACAUUCAUGGAUCAUAUGAUAUGAGAUUAUUGACUUGUACAAUGCCUUGUUUGUUUUUAAACCAACAACUCCGUAGUUGUGGGUUGAACCAAUACUUAAACUUGUGGACCAUAAUUGAAAUGCUUGUCCUUUUUUUCUGAAAUUCAUCGAUCACAUGAUAUGAUGAUUUGUCUGUUUUUUAUCGACAGUUUUAUAGUUUUGAGUUGAUUUAACGCUUAAACUUGAGAUGACUGACUUUUGUGGAUUGAUUUAACAUUUAAAUUUGGAAGCCAUAUAACAUGAGAUAAUCAAACCAGUAACAUUAUGGUACUGAAUUGAACUUGUGCACAUGGCAAGAGGACUUGUCUCAUUAAAAGUCACAUCCUGUUAUUCAUAAAACAUAUUCUUGAUCUCAAGUAAAAGGAAGAAUUCUUUAAUAACAAUGAUGGCAAUGGGAAACUUUUUAAAUCAUGACCUAUUAUUACAAGUAAAGGAGCUGCUUUAGAAAUAGGAAACAAUCCCAAAUGAAAAAUCCACCUACAUAAGCUACUGCUUUAUCUACACCUUCAUUUCAAGGUUUCUAGAACCUUUUCCUCACAAGACUAAAAAUAUCUUUCUUUUCAGUUUCCAUGAUUGCUGUGUACUGGUGGGGACAAAGACAGACAUUGACAGAUAAUGACUGUAACCUUUUAUUUCUUCUCAAUUUUUGUUAUAGUUUGUAAUAUACUUUCUGAUGCAUUUGAAGAUUUGCCCCACUUAUUUUGACCUCCAGUGCCUUGCCAUUUCAAAGCCAUUCUUGGCAUAAUGAUAAUCCUCUUCAGUUUGAUCAAUUUCAGCCUGUGUAUUCAUGACAAAGGGACCGUAUUGAACUACUGGUUCAUUCAGUGGCUGCCCUCCUAUUAGAACAAAUCUCAGUGGCCUGGAAGACCUGUUCCAUACACUGAGGCCUUCUCCAGGACCCAAAAGCAAAGCAUGGUGAGCAGCAACAGGUGAUGAAUUCGGUAUUCCAAACACCCUUCUCCAUCAAUUGUGUACACAAAAGCAUUCCAGGAUUCUGGGAUGCUUUGAUGAUAUUGAGCUCUUGGUUUCAGAGUGAAAUCCAAGUACAUUGUUGGGGUUCGCGUAUAAACCGGAGAAUGGACUCCCAUUGAUUCUCCUGCUUUACUUUAACUUCAACUCCAUCUUCCUCUGCCCUUGGAAUGUCCUCAUCCAGCAAUUCUUGAUACCUUGGCUCAAUCCUGCAAUGAGUACGGAGGGCGAUUUUAUUAGAGGAAAGUAGCAAUAAGUCAAUAUUUACGGACUAAUGAUGUACUACUGUUGACAGUGCAUUAGGCACCAGUACCAUCCUUACUAAAAAAGAUUCUGAAAUCAUUAGGCACUUAUCUGAACCUUAGUGGAUCAAAUAGAAGGGCUUAUUGAUCAACACCAAUUCGCAGAAAGUAGCCUUCUAGAACACCGUGUUUAAACAUGACUUUCUAAAAUUAAUGGAGUAAUGUCACAAUCCACAAAUAGCCUGCUAAAUGCUAAAAUUCGAUGUCUUAAUCAGAAAGGUAAUCUACAUAUAUUCUGUGCGGUACAUGUGUCUGGAAUCAGGUCAAAAUGGACUAGAAAACGGACAUGCCUGGUAACUUACAUUUUGUCCUUGGAAGCAAGAUUGAUCCAAAGCUGCAGGCCUGUCUGUGUACCUCCUGCUGCAGGCAUUUCCGAAUGAAUUAUGCCUCUUCCUGCAGUCAUCCACUGCACAAAACCCCACAUAGGAAUUGCUUACUACUGAAUUUUUUCAUUAGUUCUUGAAUUAGCAGUACAAUAAUUCAGUGAAAAAGUUGUAAGAAAGGUAUGAAAAUUUACCUGCACAUCACCGGUGCGGAUUGUGCCCUUGUGACCAGCAAAAUCUUGGUGUGUAAAAGCUCCCUAAAGAAAACAAGGCCCAAAUUUCCGGUCAUACAUAAAUUCUGGUAAUCUAGGACAGAAUUUCAGGUACAAAAAGUCGGUCUCUUUACCUGCAACAUGUAUGUAACAGUCUCAAAACCUGCACAAUAUCAGGGAGCAGAAAGUAAGAUAACUGAUCAAAUCCAACGUAUGGAAAACAGAAUCAGGUAAUUUGAUUGAAACAGAGUUGAAUGUAUGUGUCAUGAACCUCUGUGCGGGUGAUCCGGGAAUCCAGCAGGGGGUGAAACUGCAAGAACACAUUUGAAUCAACAAUCAAAGACCAAAUUAAGCAACAUUUUGCUUUUGGGCAAAAAUUAAGCAGCACUGAAACUGAUAAAACAGUGUGAAACGCAUCAUACAUCAAAAUAUAAAGAAUGCGUUACCAAAUUCAGCACAAAUUCAAGAAUUCUGUAAAAGUUCUAUCCAAAGAAUCAUGAAGAAAACCAUAUGCAGAGUUUUAUUUCAGAAACACCAUAAUCAAGAACACUAGGAUUUUAGUAAAUUGUACCUGCAAAUUCAUCCAACAUGAGGAAAGGAUCAAUAUACUUCAGUUCGGACCUGUCCAUCCAUUCAACCAAACAAAAUUCAGAGAUAAUCAGAACCCAUGUCACCAAAUGUUCCAAAAACGCUCAAAAUCAAAUGAAUUUCAGAAAACAAGAAUGCAAGAAUUUACGAAACCACGUUCCCGGAUGCAAUGCCUACGUAUUACUACAACAUAAUUUCAUUAAACAAACCAAAAAAACCCACAAAAAAAGAAGAAAUUACCUGCCAAUGCUCCUUCUAACAACAGCACCAUCUCCUUCACUCUGUGGCUUAGCCAAGACUUUCUUGACAACAAGUCUUGGACUAUCAAAACCAGAGCUUUGAUCUGACGACGUAGACAUGGUUAUUCCUCUGAUAAAACUGUAAACUCCCUUGUUGUUUCUUGUAUUUGCAAUUCUUGUUGGAUGCAAAUUCACUAGAAAUUGUCUAGACAAAGCUCUCAUGUAAUAUUUGCUUGUGCUUGAUUUUCCAACUCUUGCUCUUCUUGUCUAUAUAUAUAUAUAUAUGGACACGCCGAACAAGAAAAGAUGGCCGUGGUGUUCCCGUAUAAUUUUAGUGUGUGAGUGUGUGUAUUUUAUAACGACUUUGGGGAUGCGGGAAGCCAGGAAGGCUGGGGUUGGUUAGGAAUCUAAAGGGGGCGUGGGGAAAAUUGGAAAUGGGGUCCACUUCUUCCUCUUUGGACCAAUGAUUUGAUGACAUCAUACUCAUGUCACCAUGAUGGUGGACUACUAGCCUGAGCCGUUGGCCCAAAAAAAAAAAGAAGAUUUACUCAAAGUAAAAAACAUAAUUUAAAAUAUGAAAAUAUGGGUCUAUUUCUGACCCCCGAAGGAAGCUUUAUUAGGAUUUGAAUCUAUUCCAAAAGUUUUUCCUUUUGGGCAAAAUUUUUUUUAGCUAAAUGAUAUAUUAACUGAUUGAAUAACAUUUACUUGUUGGGGGUGAAGAUGUAAAAAUCUUUUUUUUUGGGGGUAAAGGUAAAGUAUGCUUCUGUAAAUGGGGAAGUGGAUUAAUUUAAAAUUUUAGGGUAUUUUACGUGACAGCAUGGCAAGACUUCAUUGAAAAAUUAACCAAAGAAAAAAAAAUAAUAAACUUUGGCAAUCAGCCAAAAAAAAUUUUGAGGUCAAUUUAAUAAAGUGUUUGACUUUUGGGGGGAAAAAUGAAAAAAGAAAGAUGAUGAACUAAAAGCCAAAGGGAUGGUUGAAAUUAGCUACAAGUGGAUAACUAAUAUUUAGCCCAUGCAUUAGAACUGAUUUUUUUAAUUAUAAUUAGUUAUGUAUCGAUGCAAAACAUAAAUAAUUCAUCAACAAUGUUUAUACAUAUUAUUCACGUUUGUAUUAGAAAAAUAUUGUAUUUCAAACAUAACUACCAUAUUAGCCUUUACAAACUUUUAUACAUAAAUUUAUUAGAAUGUGAUAAUAUUCAUUAAAUAAUAUAAUACAUAAAAAAGUAAUAGGUAUUCUUUGAGAUAGUAAUUAAAUUUUGGGAUAAUUUCAGAAACCUCCCCUGAGGUUUCUGACAUUUACACUCACCUCCCCUGUGGUUUGAACAAUUACACUAACCUCCCCUGAGGUUACUAAUCCUUUACAAAUUCAGUCCAAAUGAUUAAAAUAUUGUUUUAUAGAGUGAAAUUAGAAUUUUGUACCUGAUUUGCCCUUUGUGCUACAUGUCCAAUGAAUGACAAAGUAUUAAAAAUUAAUUAAAAAUUAAUAAAUUUUAAAGAGCGUAGUUUAUAGGCAAAUACGUAUUACUUAUUUAAAGUACCACCUCUUUACGGGUAUUUUACUUUCAAACAUUUACUUUAUUACAAAUAUUUAUUCUCAAAUACAGAUUUGUAUUUAUUCUCAAAUAUUUAAUUUUUGUUAAAUAAAAAACCUACCAGUUUUUCUUUCGUAGAAAUAUUAAUAUAACACUUUUUCAAUUUUAGUUAUAAAUAUUUAUGUAUUUAGCAUAAAUUAAAUGAUUCAGGAUAAAAUACUCAUAAAGAGCUAAUACUUUACUCAUGUAAUGGAUGAAAACCAUAAAAAAUUAAUACUUUAUGGGCCAUUUCUUUUUUUAAAAAAUAUUUAAUUUAUAUUAAAUAGAUAACCUACUGAUUUUCUUUUUACGAGAAUAUUACUGUAACACUUUUUAAUUUUUAAUCACAAAUGUUAAUAUAUUUGUAAUAAAGUAAAUAUUUGAAAGUAAAAUACCUGUAAAGAACUGGUACUUUAAAUAAGUAAUACAUAUUUGCCUAUAAACUACGCUCCUUAAAGUUUAUUAAUUAUUAAUUAAUUUGUAAUACUUUGUCAUUCAUUGGACACGUAGCACAAAGGGCAAAUCAGGUACAAAAUUUUAAUUUCACUCUAUAAAACAAUAUUUUAAUCAUUUGGACUGAAUUUGUAAAGGAUUAGUAACCUCAGGGGAGGUUAGUGUAAUUGUUCAAACCACAGGGGAUGUGAGUGUAAAUGUCAGGAACCUCAGGGGAGGUUUCUGAAAUUAUCCCUUAAAUUUUCUCAUGAAAAUAAUUAUACACCUAUUUAUAUUCAUUUUUAGUUCAGGACCAAAAAAAAAGGCAGCAAUCUAUUUUUAUAUGAAUGGUUUUUUAAUUUGAACCAACGUUAAUAAAUUUAACAAUGUAACAAUUAAAUUUACACUAAGAAAAGUUACUGAUAUGGAUAAAAAGUAAAAAUUGAUUAAAUGCGAUAGAUGUUGCUAGAAUGGAGAGAAAUUAUAAGCGAAAUUGAUUAGAGGAGAUUUAGAUGCAAAAAUAGGUAAAAUCUAAGUAUUCAUUCGUCGAUUAAUUCUUUUCAAUUAAGCACAUCACCUAGGAUAGAGAAAAUGAUUAAUUGAAGUGAGAACUUUCAUGAGUCUAGCCUCUAGGUAGGGUUUAAGUUCAGAUCUAUAUCAUGACAUGAAUCAAGCAAAAUUAGAUCCUAUCCAAACCCAUGAUUUUGGUAAAGGAUCUGAAUCUAGGUAGAGUUUACGUUGAAAAGUUGGAUCUAAAUUCAAGAAAAACACAAUAGACCUGAGUUGCGAUUGGUAAUACUCUACCCAUUUUCAUGCUUACUAGUAUUAGCUAUUGAUAUGUACAUUGAUGUUUUAGAACAACUACCCUUUCUAAUCGAAUACAACUACUAAUCAAACAAAUACCACUAUUUGUCUUUUUGUGUUUGUUUUUUAUCUUGAUUUUGCCAACUAACAAGUUCCGAAGAAAAGAUCUGGUCUUCCUGUGUGCUGUCCAUGUUUAGACGUAAUUGACAAGAAUUUUGAAAAGGUUGGAAGAUAAGAAAGAGUCCAAAUUGAGUUUCUCAAAAAAAAUUUUGAACCUACAAACUUUUUUAAAUAAAUUUAUUUAAGAAAAUCUCAUGAGAUCUUGAGGGUAAAAUUGUGAAUGGUUAUGCAUUAACCCCAAUUUAUUAAAAUGAAGUAGAAGAAGUUACAAGAAGAGGAGAGCGAGGAAAAACCUAGCACCCAUAAAAAUCAAUUACAAUAUUGAUAUCAAAAAAAAAAAAAAAACCGCCCUUUAUUAAAGGAGGUAUAUUAGAUUUUUGAACUACAAAUAUAUUGUGUCAAAUUACUCUCUCAUCAUACCCAUUAUUUCAUGGUUAAUUUGUUAUAGGAAUGUUGACAAUAUGGGAAAAUAAUGCUGAAUUUGAAAGUUUUGUUGACUUGCUACAUUAUUUCUUCUUUUCACAUCUGUUUUUUGAAGUGUCAAAAUGACUAUUAUGUAGACUUUAAAGAAGAGAGGACAAAAUGUUAAAAUUGAUAAGGGAAAAAGAAGUGUGAUUGUAAAGAGAAUAAUAAAAAUUUUGUAAUUAUGAUAAAAAUCGAGGAAAUAUGGUGAUUUAUUCAAAUUACGAUAAUGUAGUGGACCUGUAUUGAAAAAGUUCGGAAUUGAAUCAUGCACGCCUCGAAUCUUUGAAAUUGAAGGACUCUGUUAGUAUUCUUUCUUUUUGGUAGCAGCACAUAUCAGCGAUCCUCCAAUAAAAGUAGAAUUAUGAAGAUUGAAUAUGAUUUGAAUAACAAAUAUCACAAAUUUGCCCUAUUUAUCCAACGUGUGAUCAAUGUCACAUAUUUACAAGGUAACAAGUGUUUUUUUUUUUUUUGGCAUUUUAGAAACAUAAGGUUAAAUUGAUAAAGACUCAAAGAAGCGAGAGAAAUACAUGAGUGUUUUUGUUUAGAUAGUAAAUUAUGUUGGUACAUAUUAUAAAUUACCGAUUAUCGAUUGGACACCUAUAAAUUAAAAUCAUCUUAAAUAUGAAUGAUAUGAAUUAUAAUUACUCUUACACAUUUUUAAAUAUUCUGGUUAAUCUCUAAUAAAUGGCCUAUAUGAGAUCAUAUACGUCAUCCAACAAUCAUCAAUACCAUCAUUUUCACACUUUGGAAUAUGCUACUUAUACAUAUCCACGCCAGAAUAAUAGAACACCCGUAUGGGUUCUGAUGUAAGGUUUAUGUCCCUAUAACGUCAAUGGCUGUUCUUCCUCUGUACUACCUUAUUUGUGCUGUUUUUCCAUCUGUGAAUCAACUAAUCUGAUUAUUGAAAACGAAGUCAAUUGUAUGAGAAUCACGUAAAGAAUUUCAGCAAAAUUUUGUCAUACUUUCCAGCUUGCAAAAUGGGUCCUCGGAAUACAACAGUUUCCACUUGAAAAGAAAACAGAAAAGUUUUCUUGGUCUCAGAUAAGGAUCGAAAGGAAAAAAAGGUGCAGAUUAGUUUAGUGUCAUUAUCUCAUUUAUGGUAAUGUUUUGGAUUAACAGGGUUUGAUUCUUUUUGAAACCAAUUUUCAAGUUAAAAUUUUGCUUAAUAACUGAAUAAUUAGUAGCCUUAAGCUACUGCUACAGACUAAUUAUCAACUGAAAUUGUGCGCUUCAACUGUUUUUUUUUUUUUUUUUUUUUUGCUACAAGAAGAAAAUACAUGAUAGCCUUGCAUUUGGAAAUUCUAGGGUUAAUGUCCACAAUGUAUUAUUGUUAAAAAUGCAUUUAUUUCAGGGGUUAACAUUCCACUUGUUGAUUGUGGCAUAGAAAGGUAAAAACAAAAAAUGAAUAUAUUCAUACUUUUUUAGUAGCUAUCACAAAUCCUCUAGAGUACAAAUCACCAAUCCACUAUUUAUUCGGGUUAAUUUGCAAAGUGGAAUCGUCACCUAUUUAUCCUUAUUUUAUUUAACUGUGCUUGUAUGUAUCCGGCUUGUCUUUCUCCUGCAACAGAAAUGGAUCUUUGGCAGAAAUUAAAUGCAUGCGCACCUUCCAAGCAUCAACAUGGAAAAUGAGUCAUGCCAACUAUACCAUGUUGUCAUUGUUGAGUGUUAGAAUUUGGAGGCAUAUGUCAUUUUUUUUUUUUAUUGGAAACCGGAUCAAAUCAGAACUUUGGAAUCUCUUGUUUUUGGCAAAAAAAAAAAAAAAAUUGCAAUUUUAGUUCCCAAAGUUUGGAGAGGAGCUAUUCUAGUUCUCAAAGUUAUCAAAACUUACUCCACAUGAUGAUUCUCUACUUUUGACUUAGCAAAUAUAAUGAAAUUUACUCCUUUUCCAAAAUCAACCUACAUGAAGGAAUAACAUAAACUCUUACUCAUAGAGGGAUUUAUAAUUAUUCUUCUAUCUGUUAAUUAUAGAUCUAUUAUUUUUAGUGUAUGUUUAUCUCCUAUCAUUAGUGCAGAUUUUUAUAAUAUAUAAAAAAAAAAGAUCGUAUUGGACGAUUUCUAAUAAUUUUGUUAAUGAAAUUCACUUUUAUCCCAAAAAAAAAUUCUCAUUUUGAUUCUUAUUUAGAUUCCACAAUGAAAGGCAAAACAACUUCUGAAAUGACAUAAAUCAUACAUAAGCAUUGCGCUAUAAAUCACACCUAGGCAUUGCGUGUGCCAAAUUGGACCGACAAUGAAAUGAAAGCCGGCCGCCGACAUUAUUGGAAAUUUCUAAAGGAAGUGAAUUUGCAUGAUUCGUGCAUGCACCUCAUGCAACUUUUACGCUUUUUCCACUCUUCUUCCCCUCUUUCCUCUUUUCAGCCAUAUCUAAAUAGAGUAUUAUAUAUACAUAUUCAAUUAGAUCCAUCUUUCAAACAUAUCUAAAAUGAGGAUUAUAUGUUUGGAUCGAGUCUUUUACAAAAUAGUAUAAUUUAUGUGCUUUUAUACCAGUCUAGUAAUCACAAACUAUAUACAGAUUCAACUCCAUCUUAGAGAAAUUGCUAAUUUGACUAUUUAUAGUUGGACAAUCCAAUUUUUGGAGCAAACUUUUACAUUUUUUCAGUGAUCUCCUUUGAAAAUUUCCAUGUUACAUACAGAUCAGAAUAUAAAAAAGAAAAAAUGCAGCACUGAAUACCAAAAAAAUUUUUAAAAAAAAAUUCUAUUUGAGCUGAAAGAAAGUCAUAUGAAAAUAUAGAGAAAUUAAAAGACAACUACAUUUUUCAAUUGGAAAGUGGACUACAAUUUAGGACAGACGAAAAAAGAAAACAUGACUAUCAAAGUGGGACAGAGUGAGUAUUAUCUUGAGAUCAUUAAAUUCUACCUAGAAAAAUGGAAUGCUAUCAUAUUAAACCAAAACCAACGAUAGAUUAAUACAUAAGUUCCUGCGAAAGUUAAAUUUCAGUGAUUUACUCGUUUCGAGUAGCGAUUUUUUAAUUUGGCAUUAUUUUUUUGGUAAAUAAUACGGAUCAUUUAUUUUAAUAACAUUUAAGUUGUUAUUUCACCAAACUAUUGUGGAAUUUUUAAUAAACUUGGAAUGCUUGUCAGCCUAUCUAGUUGAAGUCCUUCUUUUUAAUUAAUAUAUAUUUAAAUCUGUAGUAAGACAAAUCCCUUCUUGUGUGCUCAUUUGUCGCCAUCAUACUGAUGGGAUAGUUGCAAUUGAAUUGCUAUAUUAAUUGGUCGUAUCACAGCCUGGAUUGUUGGUCAACCUCUGUAUCUGCCUUUAUUAUUGGUUCGUCUAUGUCUGCUUUCAAUAGCUGUCAUAUUUUCAAAUAACAAUAUAGAUUUUACGUAUUCAAUUAGAAUAGAUUUUCAGUUCUAGAGUUGAUUAAUGUUGUCUUUGGUCAAAAAAAGGAAAAUAAAAAUUCUGCAGUCAAUAGCCAUCAUAUUUUUUUUAAAAAUAAAAUUAUGCGUAUAAAAUUCAAUUAGUACAGAUUUGCUGCUCUUUAAGUUCUUGGAUGUUUAUGCCUCAUUCGUUUAGCUUCAAAUGCAUACGUUACUAAGUCCGAAUCAUUAGCCUCUCAUAUUUGUUUGGGUUAUUCUUAAAAAAUUUGGUGUGUGCUAUACAUUAGAAAUAAAUAGUCAACUUUGUCGCCAUGAACCAUGCGUUUUGUUUGGUUUUUUAUAAUCUUAUUUAGUUUAUCGUCUUACUUACUUGAUUAAAGAAAUGGAUAAUAAAGUAAUGAUUUAAUUAACAUUUUGAUUUACUUUGUAUUAGCUAUAAGUAUAGGUAAUAAGUGAUUUUCCCUUUAAUGUCACAUUAAACGCACUAGAUUACAAAUUCUUUGUAUCUUAAGUUUGAUUAGCAUAACAAAACCAAAAGAAGAGUGAUAAUUGUUAAUAUUCAUGUGCGAAAAUGAUUAGUAUAUUAUGUAUAUUUUUAUAUGGUCCAAAGAGGGAUUUCAAGUCUUAUAAAAGGGACAUAGGAAAGGGUUUCAAAUGCUAGCAAGACAUUUUAGUAAUAAAACUGGUUUAUUUUUUCAGUUAAAACAACCAAAAGUAAAGUUUGAGCCACUUGAAGUAAUGAAUGUUGAUAUUGUGCUAAUAAAUCUAAUGACUUUAAUAUAAAAAGAUUAUGAAACAUCUUUUUGACGUAAAGAUACAACAUUAGGCAAAUGAUUUUGAAACUUUAAUAAAUGUUUGAGGCAUUAGACAUUUAUUCUUUGUUAAAUAACUUGUGAGAAGAAGUAAAACAUUAUUUUUGUCUACAUGUUUCAUAGACUUGGGAGAAAAAAUCUUUGUAGAAGAUGAACUUGGUAAAUAGGAUAUGAUAUUUUUCAUGUAGAAAAUAAUAUUACGAUUCCAAACUAUCAAUAUUUUUACUUUACCAGCUCAAACUAUUAAUUUCAAGUGCACUGCUCAAGUUAAGCUAAUGUCAAACAAGAAUAGAUGUAAUAAAAGUUUUAACCCUCAUAGAGAACUCCUCAAAGUACCUAUAUAUGUUUUCCAUUCCCCAUAUUUCCCUCAAAGAGUUCUUUUUUUUUUUUGGUCUCACUCUUCUUGCUUCCAUCCUCCAAUGGCAAUCCAAUCUGGCCCCUCUUCUCCUGAUUUCUUUCUUCUUAUCCUCUUCUUGACUAACCUUAUCUCUUUUUUUUUUUUUUUUUUUUUUUUUUUAGCAAACCCCCACACACAUGUUGGAAAGGAACUCGAUUUUUUCCUGAGAACAUUGAAAAAAUCCAAAAUAGCAUUUGAACCCUUCUUAGGCCCUAUUUAGAAUUGUAGUGCUUUUGAUAAAAAAAAAAAGUACUUUUCGAUGUCAAAAGUACUUUUGAAAAAACACCAUCCCAUAAAAUUAAGAGUUGAACUUUUGAUGUUAAAAGCACUUUUAACAAAAACUCAAAUUUAGAACUUUUACAAUAGUUUUUGUGUUUUAAAAAAUAAAACAUUAAAUUUAAUCAUUUAUUAUUUUAAAGAAUGUGAUAGUUCAUAGUUCUCUCUACUUAAGUAAUAAAUCAUGCAAAUCUAGAUUCAUAUUAAGUUUCGUUGUUAACUUCCUUCUUUCCUUUUUUUUUUUUUUUUGUUUUGUUUUGUAAGGAUGUUCUUCUUUAGUAGUUGGUUUAAAGUGUUGAAAUUAUUUUUUUGAUAUAUGAUAUUGAACAUUAUUUUGCUACGAUGUGACAAAUUAAUGCUACAAUAUAGUAGCUUAUUGAAAAGGUCUGUUUGCAUGAAGUAACGAGUAGACUACUUGUUUGCUACCUUGUCAUUAAUUGUUCUAGAACUAUUCCCAAAUAUGUGUUUGAAGUAUAAUAUAGGAUAAGGUAAUCAUUCUUGAGACAUUGGUGGGUAAAAUAUGAGAAAAAUAAAGUAGAAUAUCUCUAAGUAAAGAUUCUCCACCUAUGAAGCUACAUUAUCAAUUACUACCUACUUACAGAACUACAAAAAAAAUAAUUGUUUAAACAAAUAUGUGUUCAAAGUAUAAUUAGGAUAGAGGUAAUAGUUAUACAAGCAAUAGUAGAUACAACAUGAGAGGGAAAAAACAUGAGAGAAAAAAAUUGAAGUAAAAUAUCUCUAUGUAAAGAGUCUCCACCUAAGUUCCAAAACAACUAAGUCAUGAUGUUCCCAUCUUUCAUGAAGUUGGAAAUGAUCUAGCACUUUAGAUUUGUAUAAAUAUUUUUGAGGAUAAAUCUCUGUGCCUAGCUACAUGAUUGGAUCUGGGUAUUGGUAAAAUAGAUUCUUCCAUCGUUUCAUUGCGCUUUAAAUGGCAGCUUGAUUCUGGGCUGGACGAUAGGCAAAUAUUAAACACAUUAAAAGGAAUGAUGACUAAAAUUCUAGUCUAAACUUGAAAUUAGGCAAAAGUCCAUUUGGAUUCACCAAUUUAGAAAGAAUUUUUUGUAUUACUUAACAAAUAUGUUUUCAAUCACAUCUUUAUUAUAUCAAUCAAUUUUAAUCUCACAUAAAAUAUAUCACAAAAACAAAAAUGAUAUAGUAUCAUUUUUAAACAAAUUUAUCCAAAUAAAUUUCAUUCCAAACGCAGCUUUUUUUUGGACAAGGGAACUGUAACCGCUACCCGAGAGUACGUACUGAAUAAACCCGUCCCGUACAAUAACCCACUAACCACACAGAGGGAUGAAACACACUAGGGAAGCCCUAUGCGACGUGCAGAUGUUUCAAGAGAAAUUCGAACUCAGGUUGAUAGAAAUGCAUAACAUCAAUUCUACUAUUUCAACCAACUCAAGGGACAAGAAUAGAUUAGUGUUGAUACUUAAGUUAACCACUGAUGUCAAUAACUUUUAAUUUAGACACAUAAAAUGGGAGAAAUCGCAUUUAUAACUUAAUUAGUGGAACACUAAUCGGUGUUUAUGAGAUUCUUAGUUGGACUCUCCCUUCCUCCUUAUAAUGCUUCAAGUCUCCCCUUCAAAAAAAAAAAAAAAAAAAGGGAGUAGAAUACUAAGCAUGCCUUUGAAUUUAGACCCCCUAAAGUGCACCUUUAAUUUGCAAGGUUUAAAAGUUCAAGUGGAGUCCAUGACUCAAUGCAUUAUAUAUCCACUCAAUGGCUUUUAUAUCUCCUCCACUUAAUAUUUGAGCAAAAGGCAAUACAUAACUUUUUUUGCACACUCAUCACAAAUGACAAAAACAAAAACGAACUGAAAGAAGAUAAGUGAUAGGUCGGCUCAAGAUCAUGUAUCUGGAUAUUCUCCAAUAUGCAGAAAAAGGACAUGAUUCUAAAAAGUGAGUUUCAAGAUUUUAGUGAGUCAACUUCUAGAAGCUUAGUGUUGAGGCUUAGAAUGUCAAAGUUGAGUUGACCUUGGAAAAGUAGUGCUUUGAGAGAAUUUUGUACACCAUCAUGGCACAAAUUUGGAUGAUGGGUUUCAUAGAUAGGGGCUGCUACUGUUUUGUCAAAAAGACAAAAAAAAAAAAAAAGAAGAAGAAGAAGAAGAAGAAAAUACUAUACGACAUGAAGAAAAUAAUCUCCAGAUCAAAAACUAAUGAAUCCGUCCAUUCAAUUCCCUUAUGGCACAAGAUAAUUAAGCUCUAAAUCAAUAUUAGAACAAAAAAAUGUUACACUUCUAUUGUUUAAUCGUCUGAGAUUUUAAUUAAGUUUUGAUUGUGCAAAGGGACACAAAUUAGGAAAUCCAUUUUUAUUAAGGGUAGAACUAUUAUUACUAAGCUUACUGAAAAUCGUCCAAGUCCAAAGAGAAUCGAUUAAAGUUCCUGAGAUAUUUUAUUCGAUUUCCUUCGAACCCAAUUAACUUCCGUAGCACCAGAAACUAUCAUAGCAACAACAGAAAAGUGCGCUUAAGUACCGCAACUUGUUUAAUUUUAGAUUGGCCUGUAUCUAGAAGAAAUUUAUGAGUUUUGGCAGAAAUGUCUUUUUAUGAAGGUAAAUGGAGGAGGUAUAAGAAUGCUACUGUGUUGUCUUAAAAAGGAGGAACACCCUUAUGAUGCUCUACUGGUAAAAUGAGCCCAUAAAUUGAAUCGUUUCCGGGGUUGGAAUAGCGUUAAUACAUGAGACAUUGUUUUGGUUUUAGACUUAGAGGUGUAUGAUAGGGAUAAAAAUGAGAAAAAGAACACAAAGGAAACUGAUUUCUCACACGUAUCUUUUUGUAGACUGCUGCACGGAGGAGAGGGCAAGUGUUCUGCUGCGACAACUGAAGUUUACAUGCAAAUUUAAAUGGUGAGACUGUUCUGCAUUUAGCCAGUAUUGGUAUGAGAUUAGCUAUUCAACUAUUAAGCAGCAUUUUCAUGUGAAAAAAAUGUCACUAUUAAGCAGCAUUACUUUCAAAAAGAAUGAAAUCUGCAUUGGUCCAAAACAUUGCCCUAAAAUAAAUGACAUGAAGACACUAGAUCAUAUUUGUUUUUUGUCCUUUUGCUUCAUGUAAAAUUAAUAUAAUAAACAAGAACAUUAAAAUAACUAAUUGGACAAAAUGCAAGAUACAGGACUGACUACGGGGGAACAAGUGGGGUGGGGGGAACCAAAACCUUUUAAUUGAUAAAAAAAAAAAGUAGUAGUGUUGAUGUUGCUGAUUAAGAAAAACAAAAAAAAAAAAAAUGAACAAAUGCUUUUAACUGAUCAAAAGGUUGUGGUGUGCAAUGCCUUAAUUAAAGGGACUCAAAUCACCUUACAAUCAAUCACACUUAAGGACUUAAGCCACCUUACGAUCAAUCAAAUAUUUAAGAUACUUAAAGGUAGAAUUAAAAUUUAAAGACAACGAAAUGAUGAAAAAAAAUUCAUUGAUUAGAAAUACCUGUCUUGAAGCUGUAUUCUUUUAAAGAAUCAACCACAAAUCUUUGUUUCACUCUUCAAUCGACUAUCUAUUGAAACGGGAAUUGAACCUAUACUAAAACUAUUUAAGCUUGAACAGAGAGCUUAAACUAUUAAAAACCUGAAACUAAUCAUGAAGAAAAAGGAAAUGGAACUGAUGUCCUGGCUGAUGUGUGUGUGUGUGUGUGUUUUUUUUUUUUUUUUGGAUAAAACAGAGGCCAAUGUUAUUAAUAAAUUUGGUGGAAAUCGUUUAGCACAUUUUGCUUACUAAGAUAACUGCAUUAAUGAUAGAAAAUACAUUGUACAUGUCACAAAUAUAUCUAAUCUAAAAACUCAUUAUAUUGUGAAUCACAAACCGUCAAAUCUGAUCAAUUGCACAAGCUGCACCAUAAAUAUCUGUGUAUGCCUAUUCCCUCAAAUCUAUUAUCCAACUGGUUCAAGUUCAAAACUGAUGUUAAGGUCUGACUAUCUAUUAAGAAAUUUCAAAUCUAACAUAUUGAUAUGAAAAAACUCUUAUUAGAUCUAAGAAAAAUAACAAAAAAUUAAAUAAAACUCCCUCUAAAAUAGCCUAGGAUAGAAGAAAAUUCUCACUAAUAAACACUAGGAGAGAAAAAAAAAACUCUCACUAGAAUACCCUAAAAGAAACUUUAUUAAAUGUAAAAUAAAAAUAUUAUAGGAAGAGAAAGGGGGAUCUUGACUGGAGACCAAGAUUUCCCUCCUUUUACGGUGGAAUAAGGGUGGCGAGAAAAUUGAGAGUAGAGAGAAAGCAAAAAGAGAACGGGUGGGCAGAGAGGGAGAAAGGUAAUAACUUUUGAAUUAAUUUCUUACACUGACAGUGUGCCUUUUGAAUUAAUCUUUCCUACAUUGACAAUAUACACUGUCAGCAUUGGAUGAAUGACAACAGUACAAAAUUUGAAUUUAAAAUUUAACUUUUACAUAUAUAUCAUAAAUCUAUCGGUGAUAGUGUAUACAUUGUCAAUGUAUACUCGUACGUUUUGGCUGAUGAGUUUGUGUCGCUUAAUCGCAUCCAUUGCUUUUAAUUACCAAUGAUCCUACCGAAGAUGACAAAAUUAAUUGUCAUUAUUGGAUUUUAAUUUUAGUAAAUUACUUUUAUAUGAAUUUAGGAUCCCUAAUUUGUAGCCUCAGCCUCAAUGAUGACCAAAUCACAGCCUAAUUUUUUUUUGCUGGUCGCCCUCUUUCUUAUUUCUUAUCAUGUCUUCUCUUCCCUUCUUGUCUAAUUUGCCACAACUUCAAAAAGGGCACAAGCUGUGGCGACUAGAAUAUUAGUUCCAAGCAAAAAGUGUCUCCAGAGUUAGGAUGCAAGUUGAAGAGAGGCAACUGUUCCGGGGCACACCUUCUUUUGUGAAAAAGCACAAAAUUUUCUUUUUGAAAAAUAACAAUCAAAGCAAAAAAAAUUCUUAAACAAUAUAUAACUGUUCAAGAAACGGUACAAUUUAGAAUUUCUUUUUCGUUCAAAUUUAUAUAAAAAAAAGCACAAUAAUUGAAUUGAAACAAUCACACGUCACAUAUUUUGUUUAUGAGCCCAUUUACAAAGAACGAUUUGAAAAACACGCAAAUAUGACUGAACGUAAUGAUAGAUAUAAAUAUGAGAACUCUAAAUAUACUAUAGUGCUUAGAAAAUGAAUUUCAAAAGAAGAUUAAACCUUCUUCUGCAAGCCUCACGUUUUUGCCUUUCUCUCAACAAAUUGCAAUCUUGCAACUUGCAGGGCAUAAUUGUAACACAAAAACAACUGUAGGACUAUAUGAGGAAAUAUACUAAAUCUGCGGGCGUUUAAUGCAAUUAAUUCUAAUUUAGAUCCUUGUAGAGUCCGUUGCCCUCCACUAAACAGAGCAAGUAAACCUAAGCCAAAUUUCGCCUUCACAACAACCACCACCCCACCAGCGCUGCCGCCGCUGCAGCAGCCGGAAGUAGAAAUUCAACAGAGACUUGUUUCAAAAUGGGGAGUAGGAAGCAGAAAAAUCAGAAGCAGCAGCUUUCAAAAACACCCACCAAAAAGCAUAAAAAUCAAAAGCCUUUGGGGCCUAAGAAAUCCGAAACUGGUAAUAGUAACACCAAUAGCAAAAGCACCAAGUUCAAGAGAAUCGGGAAGGGGGAGAAGAAGAAGAAGAAUCAGAGCAAGGAGUAUAAGGAGGAGAGGAAGAAGAACGAGAAGAAAGGAGUGGAAAGGGAAAACGACGCCGUACAAGUACAGCAGCCCACGCAGUCGCAGCAGCUGAGUUAUUUCCUCCACCAGUAUCAAUCAGCCAAUGGGAUUCAACUUUCCACUCUCGAACUCGAAUCUUUCAAAGGUCUUGCCUGGCCCCGUCUUGCUUAUUUAAUCUAAUUCUUUAGUUUAAUCUUUUCAUUUUUUUUUUGGAAUUUACAAGGGAAUCAUGAACAUGGUAACUGAAACAGUGAAGUGCAUUUCAAAGUUUUGCUUUUCUCAGUAUUUCUUUUUUUCUUGUGUCAAAUUUGCAAUUUUUUUGGCAGUUUUGUGAGUAUAAUAAUUUGACAUGGUUAUCUUUUGCACACCAUCCAAGGUGCAAUUCUUGUAUUACAAAACUGAUCCAGGGCUUUUGCAAUUGUCAGUUUUAAUUCAACCAUGAAAUGUAUGCAAUGUAUGCACAAACACAACAGAUGUAGAUACUAACACAUUAACAGACAAAAACACAACAAAUUUUAUCACUCGUUGAAAGUAGCAUUUGUUGUCAGUUUCAUUUUUUUUUAUUUGUUUGAAUUUACCUUGGAUUUGAGGAAGUUGGAAUAAUUGAUACUAUAGGAAUGUUGAGGUGUAGUUGAUAUUAUUAAAUUUCCGAACCUUGUGUUUUUUUCUUGUCAAAUGUGCUCUGUCUUGGUCAGUCCUACAUUUGCCUCGGUUGUCUUCGACAAUAGUCAUCGCGUGUUGCAUGCAAGACAUGCUAUUUCAGAUUAAAGGCAUUUGUACUCGUUUUUGUAAUCCUUAGGUGGUGGCAUGCAUGUUCGGUUUUUACUUUAAAAGAUGAAUCUGGGCUGCUUCUGCAAUUGCCAAUUUCAAUUGCACCAUACACGCACAAUAGAUGUUGACAUUGACAUAACAAACUUAGACACUAAGACGUUAACACUUAAAAACACAACAAAUUUUGUCAUUCAUUAUAGGUUGUGUUCUACAAUCAAUCCAACUCAUUCGAAUUUAAAUGGAACACAUCUGGACCAUCAACUGCUCCAUGGAAUAGCUCUGACAACUGUAUAGAACUCAAUCCUACAAAAUCCAGUACAAAUGCAUUUGACAUUAGCAUAAAAUUUUACCAUCAUGAGCUAAACGCACCGUUUUCCCUAGUUUGCUCUCCCUUUUUUUUGGGUUUUUGUUUGGUUCACUAUCAUAAGAUCUUUCCUCUUAUGAUACUGUUCUUUUAAAUUUUUUGUUUUGCGUCUUUAUUAUGAUUCUUCUCUUGAUUGAAUGUAUUCUCACAGUAGUUCUGUUGUUUGUUUUGGCAGCAGAUACAUGCAUGGUUGAGUUAAGUCAGAAUGCAGCACAAAAUAAUUUGGGAGAACACAUGAAAACAGCAUUUGGAUCCUCAUUCAAAGAAGUUCUUUGUGAGAAACAGCUUGGAGAAGGGAACGUUGAUCCUGGAAAUCCUGCACUUCUUGUAAUUUCUUUAUCAGCCCUAAGAUCAUUAGAACUUCUCAGGUUAAUGCCUAGAAAUCUAAAAACAUAUUGCUGUAGAAUUUCUGAGAUUCCACAUUCUGUAAUAAAAGAAUCAGUAGCUUCAUUUUUCUAAGCAAGGCCUAGCAAUUAUCAGAAUAAUGUGGUUUUGUCCUGUCUUCACAGGGAAUUGCGGCCUCUGACUAAAGAAUGCCAUGCUGUGAAGUUGUUCUCAAAGCAUAUGAAGAUAGAGGAGCAGGUACACUAGUUUUCCUUUCUUAGAACAGUUUUACUAGGUCUUGCUUUCAUUAGAAACUCUACAAAAGUUAAGGAAUAAGUAGAAAUCGAUUGAUGCCCUUGUAUUGGUGCUAUGAUUGUGAUUAUAAUCUUUAAUUUCUGUGUGCUUGGCUUCUAAGUAUUAUAAGUUGAAAAAGAUUAAAGUUACUGUUGAUAGAGAUAAUUGACACAUAAAGACAUGUCUAGAUUAGGGGAUGGAGAAAAUUAUUCACAUCUACUGUUCAAAUUGGUUUCAGGUUUGGAGCCAUCUUUUAUUGUCUGUCGACUCUUGCAACAGAUUAGAACCUUUCAAGUUUCAAAUAAUAGCUCGGGACUUUAGAUGAGAUCUGAGAUGCAAUUCUAGGCUUAGUCCUCACCAGUAUCAGUAAAGCAUGCACAUUUAUGAACCUGCUGCUGGCCACAAGUAACUCCCUUGUCUGACAAUUUAUCGGUCUUCAAUGACAAACUAGUAAGCCUAAUUUUCUGCUUAGCAUGAACCUGGAAUUAUCAGUUGAAAAAUCACUUGAAAUAGCAUAAAGGAAUAAGUUGUUCAAAAUCCAAUACUUUUAACUUCUGCAUUUUGGCUGUUCACAUAAUUUAACUUCAACCAGGUUUUUGACAAUACCUCGAAAAAUUACAAGGAAAACUUGGUCCUCAUUUUAACUCUGGGCAAUCAAUCACUUAAGGAUGAGGAUCGGGCUAGACUUAGGUAAAGCUAUGCAUUUUAUUUUGGUAAUAGAAAGAAGCAUCUGAGAAGAAAAAAAGCAAGUGGCAACAUUUAAAACAAAUUCCAAACAUAAGAUGUAGAAAUCAUAGAUUGAUAUUCUUCUUCUCAAAUUAAGUAGGUCUUGAUUUUCUGUCAUGGCUUUACGAAGACGGUCCUCUAUAUGCCUGACAAUCCCCUUGUAUGGUCUUGAUCAUUAGCUCUGCUUCUACAAGAAGAGCACUAACAUUUUGUUUUUGUUUUUUAUUUUUUCCUCUCUGUCACUGAUCAUUAACUUUUUUUCCCUGUUUGCACGGUUUUUUCCCCACUUAUAUACUUGGUUGUUCUUGUUACUCUCUCUCCCGGCAAGCAUCUUGUUUCACAUCCAUUGUAGUAAUGAGAGAUGUAACUGCAUGGUAGUAAUCCUGUUUUUUCAAAAUGUUCUCAUUCGGCAUCCUAUCUCUUUGAACCUAACUUAUCUAAAAGCCUUUCAGGCAUCCCACAUUUAAACAAAUUUAAAUGCUGUGUUGAUUUGCCUCUUUUGGUGAACUUUUAGCAGUUCGAGAGGAAUUGAUGCAAGUGUUUUUGUUUUCUAACUAAUGCUUAGCUUUGAUGAGCUUCUUAUUCAUUGAAUGGCUGAUUCAUAAAACUUUACUUGCUUUGGUUACAUGGGCUUUUUUUAAUAUUUUUUAAUAGUAAUCCAGAUGAUUAGUGCAUUUAUGUAACUAAGAAAUGGAGACAAAAAACCGGUGAAGCAGGCAGUGCUGAAAAUUACAUCUGUCUGUUAAACUUGACAAGAAGAAAUGGCAAUCUGUUCAUAUUUAUUUUUUUUGGAAACUGAAGUUAAUUUCCUAAGUGAUAUGCAGCUUUGCUGAGUUGUGUUCCUUAUGCCAUUUGGUCUGGCUGCUAGUUUGUACAUCACUACAGUGUGUCAAUGGAUGUGUUUUUUCUAUAGACAAGAUAAUUGGUAUGUUAUUCCUACUCAUAAAUAACUUUUCUUCUAAAACCAGCCUUUCUUUUUGUUUUUUGCCAAUCAUGCGUGUACCUGUGUCAACAAAUAUCUUUGCUAUGUAGACAACAAACUUGGAAUUUUCCUUUCCCAAACAUAAAUCAAUUUUUCUGAUAAAAAAGGCUGUCUUUUUUUUUGCCCAAUCAUGUACUUAUUUCAAUUUUUACUAGGUUAGAUAUUAACUGUCAAGAAAUUCAUCUGUUGGUAAAAAACCAUAGGAAAGUAAACAAGUGAAAGUAUAAGAUUACAGUGUGAGAAACUUGUUCUGCAUUUUUCUUUUUGUAUGACCUGAAAGAGUGUAAAGCAUAUUAUCCUUUUGAAGUCAUUCUCUUUUCUUCCUUACAGUGUUGACUUUAAUCCUGUCUUAGGUUCUAUGAAAAUCUCAAAAAGUUAAGGAAUUCCUGUAGUUACAAAACAAUAUUGUCCGUCUGCAGCAUAUGUAACGUUCUGGUGUAUGUGGCCAAGUCUUCUCCUUUCUUUUGGUCUUGAAGUUUGACAUUUUCUUUACAUGUGUGGUGACAGGUUUCUUUUCUAAAGAAUCGUGUCAAUGUUGCUUGUGGAACACCAAACAGGUAGGUGAAGCUUCUUUCUUGCAUAAGUUGCAUGUGGCUCUUUCUCACGCUGCUUAUGGUUGUUUGUUUUGGCAUAUGGUUUUGGAACUAGAUAUUGCUUUUGUUUGACUUAAUUUGGGUUGCCAAUUUAUUGUCUCCUCUGUCUGAUCAGUCUUCCAGGACUCAGAAAUCUUAUAGUUAGACGAUUUAUCCAUUUACUGGAAGGGUUUAUUGUAGUUAGAGAGAGAGGGAGAGAAGAGAGAGAACUGUCUUAGGAAAUGUUAUUUUCCUACCUUACUCUUUAGUUCACCCGUUGUAUAUCUUGAUUUGCUAAGCAUUUUGCAUUUGUUGUAGGAUAAAGAAGUUGAUUGACAUGGAAGCAUUGGGCUUGUCAAGAUUGGCAGUUAUUGUUCUUGACAUGCACACAGAUGUCAAGGGCUAUUCUUGUUCACACUUCCUCAAGUCAGGUUUGAUCCGUUUAGCUGAUAUUCCAUUAUGAUUACGCUUGUGAACCAUGUGAUAUUGAUAUCGGGUUUGCUGAAUUCCAAUAUCUGGAAUGCCAUGGUUGUCCUCAUGGUUGUCUCUCUCUUUCUUUGAUUUCCAUUUCCAUGGCUUCACCUUUACUUUGAAUAUUGUCUAAGCAUUGCACACGACACCUAUUUGCGUCAGACAGGGUCAAAUGGGGAAAUUUGUGUCAUACUGCUUUUCAUGCAACUCAAAAUUUUCAUCCCUUUUCCUUGAUUACGUAAUGCGUGCACAUUUUCUUUUCACUCGAAAGAUGGUUAAUUUUGUACCUGCAUGGAAAAUAUCAUUUGACAGAGAAGAGUUCUGGGACCUGUACAAGAGCUACAUUCAUCAACGACUGCUUGAAGGUGAUCUGCGAAUCUGUCUGUAUGGUCAAAUACCAGCUAUUCGAAGAGCUCCAACGGAAGCUAAAGAUAACUGAAGCGGCUUAUUCAUGCCCAAGAGUUAAGAAUAUUCUGUGUUGCUUGUACCAGUGCAGACCUUUUUUUUCAAAAAAAAAAUUUAGGGGAUACGAAGGAUAAUAUUAAAAAAACCUUAUUGUGGUAGCGAUGAAGUAAUAGUUGCAGGAAGCAAUAACACACAAAUUUUGGAUUGAUGUAACCCGAAGUUGCAAAUUAUGCACAACCUACACGUAUACUAAUCUAAGGCCAUGUAGUUCUGGUAGCUUUUAAUCUGGAUUAGAAUGGAGCUUCAAAAUUUUAUGCAAGGCUUUCUAGUGAUAACAGAGAUUGUGCACACUGGGGAGCUAUAUUUGAAAUCUCUAAAUCAGGUUAAGUAUCAAAGAUGUUAAUGAUAUGGAUUGAACAAAUGAUUUGAAAGGGAAACUAUAUCAAAACCUGCUUUGGACUGCCUUACCAUGGUGGUAAAUUCCAAAGCCUCAAAAACCUCAGAAAUUCCAGAGCAAGUGGUUUAUGGUGUUAAGAGUUAUAACUUGUAAGAUUGAAGAAAAUGCAAUUUGCUGCAUGGUCAAAAUCAGUUAAUCACUGGAAGACUUCAGCUCAAAUGAUUAUUUUUAUUUUUUUACUUGUGUCGCCUUCCUUUUUUUUUUUUUUUUUUUUUUGGGACAAUUGACAAUGUUGAUUAUUUAGGCUUAGAAUGAAGGUAGGAUGCAUCAUGGGUAGAAUGAUGAUUCAAGCAUGCAGCUGUACUGUAACACAAAUGUUUUUCGAGGAAUGCCCUCAUUGAUGUACAUUUAUUCAACAGAAGAAAAACUUAUUUGUAUAGGUUUAUACAUUGUAGAAUGUACGUGGAGAUGGAAUAUUGGUUUCCAUUCCACAAUUAAACUUAACCAUUAAAAUUUAAGUGAGGAUCCUUAACCGAUUAUUAGGAAUAAGGUACAGUACAAUCUCUCAUUUAUAAUCAGGCGUAGUUAAUGGUACAGUUUUAUCUCCUAAAUUACCACUAUAAAUGGAUAGAUAAUUAAUUUUCUGGAAGUGACAACCAUUUUAAUCGUCUACGUGUUGAACAUUUUUAGUAUUAAUCUAUAAUUCUGGAGUGAUUAAAAGUUUGAGAGAAAUCCCACUUUGUUUUAUUCAUUCCCCAAAUCCAAUAUACAAAUAGGAUUAAUCCAAUCCAAGUAAAGAUCAAUAAUCUUUCGGAUAAAUUACUUAUAACCCCCUAUGAUUUUACAUAAUGUUAGAUGAUCCCCCUAAACUUUUAAAUUAGUCACAUAACCCCCUUAUGAUUUUGUGCAAAGUGGAAAAUGGACAGACUACACAAUCAAUUACAGUGUUUCUAUCAAACAUGCUCUAAAAUCGGGUGUGAUAAAAUCUCAAUUUUCAUGUAACCCCUUAUGGUUUGUAUAAAUAUUCACUUUAUCUCGUGAUUUUGCAUUUAUCUAUAUAAUCCCCUUAUAUUUUUAUAUAAGGUAGCUAAGUUGUCGAUUAAUUUAACAUUUAAGUAAUGGCACUAUUGAUGUUUCAAUUAACAACGUUAUAUAAGUUAUUUUCUGUCGGAUUUCUACUUUAGAUAAAAUCAUAGGAGAAUGAAAUGGAUAUUUUGAAACACUAGGGGAUUAUGUGACAAUAGAUGAAAUCAUAGGAGGGUUAUAUGUAAUUUACCCUAAAUUUUUAGGUGUUUAAUGACUUUGUACUUUAAAGAAGCUACAUACAAAUUAAGAAAAUAGCUUCAACAUGUAAGUUAAAAGAUCUCAAGUGACCUUCACAACUUCUCAAACUUUGGCGAAGUUAGGAACAGAUUCCAACUCGUGAAAGUUGUCCUCGUGGAAAAGAAUAAAAAAACUGAAUUAUAGCUAAAAAAAGUAUUCAUUGCUGCAGGUGCCUAAUUUAGAGUAGGAUAUUUGUAUGAACAAUUUUGUGUUCUCUGCUCAAAAAAAUUGGUCUUCGUCAGUUAUCUUUUGCCUCAGAACCCUCUGUUUAGUGGGGAUUUAUUCGUAGUCUUUCAUCCUUAAAAGGGAUUUUUCGUACAUAAGCAUAGCCACAAAAGCUUCUUUCUCUUGUUCUUUAUUAGGGGUUUCAAUUUCUUGUUCUCUCCUUUUGGCAAUUCAAGCAUCAACAAACGCAAAUUUUAGUUGCUUAAAUAUGUUCUAAAGAGAAAAGUGCAAUUUCCAACAGAAUUUUACACACCUAGUGGCUGCUAUAUGACUGUUCUUAAUCAGUUUAGAUGCUAUAUGCCUUGAGAAAUGUGGAUUGUGCUAAAAAGGGGAAAGAAUAAAUAAAGAAAGGAGGUACAUUGAUAAAAGAACUUAUGGCUAUAUUACCCUUUUGACUAAAUGUGAUGAACUAUUUAUUGAAGAUAGAUGAUGUCAAGGCAAUCCCUAAGGAAAGGGCUGCCAUCCUAAUAAAACAACAAUCCAUAUUCGGAAAAUCAAAUAGCUGUUUGCAUCUCUAAUUCACAACUAUAUGGAAAUCAAUUAGCUAUUUUUUUUUACAAGAAAUAGAUGUAUGGCAAGUUUUAUGAGUGUAGUAAUUCAUAGUACAUACUACAAAUAAGUCCUCCUUAUGCGCCUAAUUUUAGGUGGUGCAAGUUCUUUGUUAUAUAUAGAUAACAUGCUAUUGAGCUCAGAGAUUGCAGCACCAUACUUCCAUAGACUAUAUCUUUACCAAGUCAUUGAUUUCAGUGCUCUGCCUAAAGGCUCUGCCGCAUGUUUAAUAUCUUUACCAAGGGACUCGGGGCACGGACGGUUGCAGGUGCAAUCGUCCCUGCCAAUUGUAGUCAUUAUCAACUGGUCGUAACUUUUUUUGUACAUCGUGUAACUUUUUUUUCACAAGAUGUAUUUUCACAACAGAUAGUGGUGGGCCCCACACUUGGCGCGGAAAUCGAGUUACAUGGUGUAAUCUCAGCCGCACAAAAUUUUGAGGGCCAAUCUUGGCCCUUAACCGUGCAGGGACGGUCAUACUGCCCCAAAUCCCUUUACCAAGUCAUUAAUUUGUUGACAAGAAACAAGGUUUUUUUUGCAAAAUUAGUUCAUUAGAUUUCUCCAAAUAAUUAGGGUACAAAGGUAAAUUUUCACAAUUUUUUGUCAGCAAUAGUCCCACCCCUAAGGGAGGUCAGUGCUAUUUCUUAAAUCAUAGGAGAGGUGAGUGCUAAUGUCAGAAACUCCAGAGGAGGUUUAUGCAAUUAUCCCUUUUCUAAAGUUAUAUAGCUAGGCUGGACAGUUAAGUACUGUGAAGUUACAGUCCCUAUUCAAAAUAACACAAAAAUCAAAAGGAACUUUGCAACUGCUAGUCUCAUUUUUAAAUAUGGAGAACUAAGGUUAAUAACCGGACCAAUUCACAUGAAAAUGCCAAUAACCAUUCCCUAUGCCUAGAAAAGUUAACCAAAAAUUAUAAGAGUAAAACAAUUAUUGAUAUUCACCAAAGAGAUGUUCUUGAAUUCAACCACAUUAACUUGAUACAUUUUUAUUUUAAAAACUUGGCAAAAGCAGAAAUAGAGGCAACAAUCCAACAUCAAACUUGGCAUCACAUACGAGCUAAUCACUAAAAAGAAGAAAAAGAAAAUGAAUGAAAGACACUAGCACCAUAACUGCUCCCCCCACACCUAAAUCCUACAUUGUCCUCAAUGGAGGUAAUAAAGUAAUUAAAGUGAAGAAAACAAUGAAACUUCCCUGUUGAACAGCUAAGGGAUAGGAGGAAACAGUGGAGGGAAGCCGAGUUCUGAGACAUUCUUGCCACUUGGCGGGUGAUGUUCGUCAUUCGCUCAUCUACGUGAUGAAUCUGAGCCCGCAAGUGGUGCGACUUAACAUCAGAGGCCAUCGGUGGGGGAGGCGCAGAAGAAGAGGGCUCGAGUCUUACCAUUUUCUCCAAAUGUCAUUUCAAUCAACAAGAGACAAAAAUUGCCCACAGAUAAUGUAAACAGUAAAUUCAAAGCAAUGACAAUUUAAUAGCCACCGGUGCCUCCCAAAUAUCAAUAGAGAGCGACACAACUUGCCCACCCAAAAUCUCUCUAAAUAUCUCCAAUUGCACAAGAACAACCCAGUCACACAUGCCCAGCAGUCAAUCAACUAUCCAACCAAGUAGAACUGACACAUGCAAGGGGAAAUAUUCCAACCAGUAUCAUUAGUGCAAAACAUAGUCCAAAAUCAAUGAAAUUGCUAUAGUAGAGUAGAGCAGUAGUAAAGCAAUAGCCCCAAGUAUUAAUCUAGUCACAAGAAAGAUUCUAAACCUCUAAAGAAGAGCAAUAGGCGACUAGAAUUCCAAUGAAUAGAGCAAGUAGAGGAACCGUAGGUGGGAACCCAGUCCACCGAAGUCAAUAAACAAACCCAGGAAACAAAUAAGUCCGCAAAUGAGUCAACAAAUUGCACAAAUGAUCAAACCAAAAUCACAGACACUGUUCCUCCAAAUCAGCAAUAUAAACCAACAUCCAAAAUGUCCUCAAAAACUCGAUUAAAAACUACUAAUGCCAAUAAGGAAUGCAGUUGCCGAAUUAAAUCAACCAAAAUUUCAACAAGCAAAACACUGGCCGAGAUUCUUCCCAAAAUAUCACAGACAAUUGUUAAAAUUCCAGCCCACCCAAGAACUUCAACAAUUGCACCCAAAAGCUCAACAAUUGCCCCCAGCAGUCAACAAGUCAACAAGUCAGGCAACAGUAGUGCAGUGAUUCGGCAAUAACGACUCAAUAUAUACCCUCAACUGGCAAUUAGGCAUCUACCCACAAAAGCAAGUGAAAUUAUCUCAACGACCUAAUGGUUCACCACACAGAAUUCACUUCCACCCAACGAAAUAGUUGAAGUCACUAAGAUGAACACGUUAGUUAACCGUCACAGAAAAUUCUAACAAGCAAACCAACUCCUAACAGGGCAAAUUAAGCAGCACAAGCUCCUGAUUCAAUAGGCAAUAUUAGAAAUAACUCAACCAGAAUCCCAAAAGAAACCUCAACGAACUUAGUAGUUGAAAGCAAUGGUCAGAAUAUUUCUCAGCAAUUCAAUUAGAUGCACCCAACUGGAGGAAGCAAUGUAAAUAGCAUAGAAACUUCCCAAUUUAACAAACAAGUGCAAUAUUUCAGCUUACCCAAAAUUUCAACAAAUGGCUCCAGUUGACCCGUCAAAAUCUUAAUUCAAAAUCAGCAAUUUCAAUGAAAACGGCUUAGAUAUUGGACACUACAAACGCAGCCAACCAGAUAGAGGUACCAAAUUAAGGUCCAGUUACUCCACCAGUACCACAGGUAUAGCAAAAUAGCACAAUAAUACGACGGAAAAUAGCACAAUUGCUAGCACUGGUGCACCGCACAGUUAAGGCAGAAAACCCAAUUGCCACUCCAAUCUACUGACAAACCCCCAAGUGAAUCCAAUACAUACCAAAAAUUGGGGAUUUAGUAGCAAAUACCUCUCCCAGUGGCCGAAUGAAGAAACUGGGGCGGUAGUGGCUAAGAAAAAGAGGCGCUGUGUAGGACGCGAGGGAAAGGCGGCGUCCGUGGGCUGGAGCUGCGAGGGAGAGCGACUACGCGUGGGCACGGGCGGCGGCGCGCGACUACAGCAGCGACGGCGUCGGCUUGGGCAAAGCGCGCGACAGUGAAGGAGAGCGGGUGGAGCGUGCGGUCGGAGCUGGGUGGCGUGCGGAGGGAUCACGGCUGAAAGAAGAGCUGCGGGGUGGCCUGCGCGUGGUUGGUGAGCGGCGGCGGCGCACGAGCUGGUCGUCGCUGGCGGAGGCGCGAGAUGGGUGCUGCCUCUGGUGCUGCUGGCGGUAGCUAGCGGUGGAGGCGUUGAGCAGCGGCGGCGGUAACGCUCCUCGUGCCCGCGAUGGAUCGAUGGCGAAGAGGAAGCUGGUGAGGGGAGAGCCGCGGCUAGGGUGGGUUGAGGGAGGAGGCGGCGGAGAAGAAAGAAGAAAGAAGAAGAAAGAAAGAAAAGAAAGAAUAGGGAAGAAAGAAAAAGAAAAUAGUAUUUGUGUGUUUUUUUUUCCUUUUCCAUUUUUUUUCUCUUUUUAGAAUUUUUUUUUUUUUACAGGAAGACUCUCCCCCCCCCCCUUUUUUUUAAAAUUACAAAAAAAAAAAUUUUUGAAAAUUUUAUAUAUAUAUAACUUUUUUUUUAUUGACAAAAUUUAUUUUUGAAAUUCAAAAGUAGAGAUUAACAGAAAAUCAAUAAUCGUUCUUGAGCUUUUUGAAUACUUACCUUUCCCGUGAACAUGACGCGGGCACGUCAUGAAGGCACGGAAUCUGGAGCUCUCCAUAUGAGAUGACGUGGGCACGUCAUGAGGGCAGGAACCCCUUCUGACGAUUCUGACCGUGAGCUCUCCAGACGUCAUGACGCGGGCGCGUCAUGACAGAAAGAUACCUACAAAUCAUCAAAAACGAAAAUUGAAACCCGAAAUCAGUCAAAUUCAAGGAAAACAUAUUUAAACUAUCACACAAAAUCAAAACAAACAAUUAAAAGAAAUAAUUGGGUUGCCUCCCAAUGAGCGCCUUUCUUUAAUGUCUUUGGCUAGACAUUAUCAUGUUUUGCUCAUGGAGGAUAAAAUCUUGUGGCUUGCUUCAAUGCUUCAUCUUCAAUGUGAUCCUGGUAACCCUCAUAGAUGGAGUAAUCUUUGAACACGCGAGCUACGGUCUUCCAUGGACUAGUUGAUAGCGCCAAAUAAUCAAGCAGUAAUCUAAAUUUUUCAUCCACUCCUCCAUCAAGAGCACUCAACGGUUCAAGAUAUUUGACCAUACCUACUCUUAACUUAUUUCUGCCAUGAGACUCAAAAAUUUCCGGUAUAACAAAAUCAAUCUCAUUAACAGAAAUCAUGGAGUAAGAGUUAAGAAAAUGCGAGUUAGGGAAUGGAGGUGGUGUCACCAUAUUUGAUGAUUCUUCACUGGAUUCUUUCACUUGAAUGGGUUGCGGUUGGUGGUUCCAUCUCUUCCUUUUCGACUUCUUUUUCAACUGCAUCUGUAGAUUUCUCAUUUUGACACUCUUGCAUCUCCUCAUCACUAGUCAAGCAAAUUGCACUCUCAUUUUCUUCUAGAUCAACAAUGGUUUUCGAGGGCAAUUCUUCCAUUCGAGAAGCCAAUCGAUUUAUUCUGGAUGUCAAUAGACAUAGUUGAUCUGCCAGAUAACUCAUUGCAUCCUUCAUCAUCUCAUUUCUCAUUUGUGUCUCCUGUUGGAAUUGGUAUGUAUUAGUAGCUAUUGGUUCAACUAUUUCUUCAAGAGACAUACUUGACAUAGAUGACGAUUCUUGAGACUCAUACUGCUGAAAAUUCAUUGGCCCCGUUGUAUAAAUAUAACCGGAGUUAUCCCACCAUUCUUGAUUAUACCCGUUUGGAUUAGGGUUAUACCACGUUUGAGACCAGGGUGAAAAAUCUCCAUAAUUAUUGAGUGGGACACUCAGAUUAUCUUGAUAUUCGGGGCACACACCGGUUGAAUGAUCCCUGGCAUAACAAAUUUUACAGGUUGCAGCAGCCAUUCUUUCUCUAAUAGAGUUUAGUGCCUCUGAGUAUGCAAACUUAGGAACAAAACAAAACUCAUCGUCUUCCCUGGAAACAAAAUCCAGUAUAUCACCAAAAUACGGAGUGUUAGAAGCCAUAAACUAUAUAAAAAAAAUAAGAGAAAAAAUAAAUAAAAAAAAACAAGAUGAACUCAAAAAGAAACAAAUUAAUCUGACACCAAUCCCCGGCAACGGCGCCAAAAAUUGACAGGGUGUCAGCCUGUGCAAUAAUAAAUACCUGCUCAAACUAAAAUUAAUUUCUGUAGAUAGUGGUAUGUAGGGUCGAAUCCACGGGGACUGGGAGUAAUGUUUCUUUUUAAAUUCACAGUGACAAGGGGGGUGUUUUUAUCUCAGGGGUGACAAUUUAAGCAAUCCAACUAAAAGUAAAAUAAUAAAAAUAAAAUAGCCAAUUAGAAAUUAAAAUAACAACUUACUAAAAUCAAAGGAUCUAGCCAAGGAAUAACUUCAGCAAUGGUUCACCUAAUUGAUCAUCGAUACAAAGCCAAUUACAAUUAUUUACCAAUAAAUAGGUUAUAACUGCCAAACAAGUGAUGACAGUCAACCCCUCCUUACUGUGUCGGUGAUUAAGGUACGCCCGUUAAUCACUGCUCUAAUUGAGAAAUAAUCCUAGGUACGCCCAUAGGAUUUAAUUUCCCAAUUGCCUUACGUAUUAGAGGAGCCCUAUUCUAACCAAAUAACGCACUACCAGGGUUAUUUCAGAUUAGCCCGCGUAUUCCCCUGACACAAGUCUAAUUAUGCCAGUUGUCACUAUUUCAAGGCAAUUAAACAAUUACGGAUUUAAUACCUCAAUUGACAAUAAAUUAUUAAAUUAACUAAUUAUCCGGAUCCAAGACAAUCAAUUAAUUAAACAAUCAUAAGCACUACAACCAGGGAAUAUGCAAAUACCAAUAAAUAAAAGAAAAAGAUAAAAUUAAAUCGAUCUCACAAUUUUUAGGCGACCCAAAGCAUCCGUUGUUUCUUGGCUAGAAAAAGGGAUUUAGUUCAUCCCCAACGAGGAACACUCACACGAAGCGGAGGGAACAAUUGCAGCCUUUGCCAUUGACCGGGAGAACUCAAUUCGCUUCAAUAAAGAAAAAGAAAGAACAAAGCUACAGCGAAUGAUUCAUGGUUUCUCAUGGUCUCUGACAUACGAGAAGAAAAUCACUAAGGAACGGAAAAAUGGAAAAAGUCUAAGUGAAAAGCUAAUCUAGAGCUACGAGAGAAAAGUCAAAAGCUAAAAAACAAGGUAGUGCUCAGUGUCUGCCAUAUAUCAAUCGUUCCUAUUCUAAUUGCUACUGUGCAGCGUCCGCCGCCCAGCCGAGAGAGAGAAAAGAAGACUUCGGCCUCCCCUUUUUAAUGCUGUCUUCAGCCCAAUUACCAAGAAGGGUCGCAGUUUAAUAUUUGAAAAAUGUCCCUAGAUGUCUGCUACUUGAACUCUUUCUUGAUAACUGUCAAAUUGACACUUGUUAUGGUAUUUUCGUUCUACACCCUGAAAUAAAUGCAAAUUGCCAAAAGUGAGUAAAAUCUAACAAUUAAUCCACAUCGGAUCAGGUAAUAGGGAAAAUUAAUUAUAAAAUAAACGAUAAAAUUGCAACCUAUCAGGAUGCUUGAAGCAAAAAAAAAAAAAAUUAAACUGAUUGCCUCGUGAUAAGAAGGUGGAAUUAUUGCAAAAACAGAGACCCCAUCGUGUGGGAAUGGAAUACAAUAAUAAUUCCCAAUAAUUCUAUGAAACCGGACCCACUACUUGUGAAACCGGAAUGCGUCUGCAAGUGGUUUUUUGAAAUAUAAAUGUAUAGUAGAUAAAUUUUCCAUUUGCAAUUAGUUCAAGAUAAAUUUGGAUUUUGGGUGAAGCCAAUUUAACCCAAUGCGUGCCUAGCUCCAAUUCCACCUAGUUGAAUAAUUGAUUAUCAUUGCCUGGGAUCCACCUUGAUGCCAAUUCCACCUAGUUGAAUGGUUGAUUAUCUCAAUACUCUCCUUCACUUUCUCACCAGAAACAAAUAAGAAAAGCAAAGAAUUGUAAUUUUCAGGAAAGAAAUACUUUGCUAGCUCUACAGUUAAUGAGAUUUGUUUCUCUCUUAAAAUUUGAGAGUGAAACUGACGAAAAUCCCUCCAAAAGAGAUCGAGAUGGCCUCCACUUGCAGCGUCGAUUGUGUCUUACUUGGUCUAGAGUCGAUCCUGAACAGAGGCCGGUAUGAUCCUUAUGAUGUUCGUGUUGCAAUCACACACAUGAAAUUUCUCAAAACAUUUGUUAUGUGUGCAAGCAAGUGGAGCCAAAGCAAUGAUUUGUACUUGCAAUCUGACAAUGUUGUGAAGAAGGUGAGUCUUCCAUCUUUCUUAUCUUGCAUCGAAGAUACCUUUCACAAAUAUGUGGAGGAUAUUCACUCUCUUUCCCAUGAUGAGAUAUAUGUAGUGUUACACGAAAUUGAGAAAGAGAUCAUAUCACUCAAGCAAGAAAUCAUCCAAAUUUACUUUGCUUUGGCAAGCAGCAGGUCAUUUCAAUCAAAUUCUUGUAUGACAGAUGAUGAACUGUUGGAAUUCAUAGACCUCAUCCUCCAAAAUCUAGCAGAUUUGACAAAUUACUGUAUGUAUUGGAAAAUUAAUGAAUAUGAUCCUUUGAGUGCUCAAGUCCAAGAUCUUGAAGCAAAGCUGACAUUCUUGAAAAGCUUCAUUCCCUUUGCCAAAAUGCGAGGAACCGCAGAUAUUCCUGCCUUGCUAUUGGCUCACUUUGAAGUGGUGGCUUUGACCGCAGCACGCCUCUCUUACAUGUGGUCCUUUUGGAAAAAUGCUGAGGAAAUGCACAAUCCUCAGUUCUACUACAGAAGUACUUGCAGCUUCAAACUCCUCAGCAUCAGAGCUGUUGAUUUUCAUGUCUACGAGAUUUAUAAGGAAGUACUUGCAGCUUCAGACUCCUCAGCAUCAUUACAUACAGCAGUGAUGGAUGAGCGGAUAUUGAACAACUUCAAUGAUUCUCUGAUAGGUCUUCUCUGGGAGUUGUUAUGCUGUAGCUCUAGCUUUGUGGAUUCUAUGAAAGAUGAAAUGCGAAUACUCUGUGCAGGACUGAGGUUUUUGAGAAGGAUUUUAAGGGAGCAUCAUGAGAUGAUGGAUGAACAAAAUGAAAAGAUUGGAGCUCUCCUUGGUGAGGCAGGCAUUAUAAUAUUCUCGCCCACUCUGAGCAGAGUGAUAGAAGGAGAAGUUAGCUUCUCAGGAUCCACCCAGGUUCUUGAUUUUUGUGAUAUGCUGGCCAAUACCAACAUCCAUAUCAAGAAUUUUAAGGAUCAGAUCAGUGGCUCAAGUACUAUAGAGAGUCUUCCUAAUUCCUCUUAUAGCUUAAGAGCACCAGAAGUUAGCCAGACUUCCAGCCGCAUGCUAUCAAAAGGUAAAAUGCCAAUAGACCAUGAAGUCAUGGUUGGUCUUGAUGAUGAGGCAGAAAAAGUAAUUGAACCACUUAUCAAGCAUUUUGAGGAUCAGCUCAGUGUCCCAAGUACUAUACAGAGUCUUCCUAAUUCCUCUCAUAGCUUAAGAGCACCAGAAGUUAGCCAGACUUCCAGCCGCAUGCUAUCAAAAGGUAAAAUGCCAAUAGACCAUGAAGUCAUGGUUGGUCUUGAUGAUGAGGCAGCAAAAGUAAUUGAACGACUUGUAAGCGGAUCAAAACAGGUGGAAAUUGUUCCCAUUGUGGGAAUGGCUGGGCUUGGUAAGACAACUUUAGCCAAAAAAGCUUACAAUGAUAGUUCAGUAACCUGUCACUUCCACAUUCGUCUUUGGUGCACUGUUUCUCAAGAAUUUAACAUGAAAAGCUUGUUAACACAAAUUUUGUGCUCGGAUGGAAAACACUCUAGGAUGGAUGAAGAGCUUAAAAACUUGAAUGAACAUGAAUUGCUUCACAAGCUCUAUCAAAGGCUAAAGACGAAGAGGUAUCUUGUUGUUUUUGAUGAUGUCUGGGACAUUAAGGUAUGGAAUGAGCUGAGAAUUUCAUUCCCAGAUGACAAAAACCAAAGUAGAAUCAUCUUUACGAGUCGAUCUUCUAAUGUAGCUUCACAGGUUCAACAUGGUGGAGAACCUCACUAUCUUCACCCACUCAGUAAGAAAGAAAGUUUCGAAUUGCUGCAGAAGAAGGUGUUUGGAGAAGAAGAAGAAUGUCCUCAAGCAUUGCAUGGAUUGGGAAUGGAGAUUGCUGAAAAGUGCUGGGGGUUGCCACUUGCACUUGUUGUUGUAGCUGGAGUCCUAGCAACUAUAGAGCAUGAUAUUUUGGUUUGGAAAAAGUUUGCUGAAAGUUUAACUUCAACCAUGGUGUCUGGUACAGACCAGUGGAACAAGUCCUUGGAGCUCAGUUAUGAGCAUCUACCAUAUCACUUGAAGGCAUGCUUGCUGUAUUUUGCUGCAUUUCGAGAAGAUGAAAAAAUUGGUGCCAAGAGUUUGAUGCGUCUAUGGAUUGCAGAAGGGUUUGUGGAAAUAAUUGAAGGAAAGAGAUCAGAGGAUACUGCAGAAGAAUAUUUGAUGGAUCUAAUUGGCCGAAACCUGGUCAUGGUAAGUAAAAGCAGAUCCAUUGGUGGAGUCAAAACUUGUUACAUUCACGAUUUGAUUUUUGAGUUCUGUAAGGGCGAGGCGAAAGAAAAGAAUUUCCUUCAGGUCCUGCGAGGAUAUGAUGAGCUUUCUACCUUUAAUGAGGAGAACCCACCUCGGUUGUCCAUUUGGUGCAGUGGAGAAGAUUUUAUGAAGUCAAGGCUAUUUUGUCCGCAUUUAGCCAGUCUGCUAUUCUUUGAUGCUACUCCAGGAUAUAAGAAGUUUGAGUUGCUUAAUAUCUCCUUCCUUUUUUGCAUCUACAAACAUCUUAACGUUCUGAAUUUAGAGGGCAUUGACCUAAUGUUGAAGGAGCUUCCAGCUGAAGUCGAAUCACUUAUUUGUUUGAGGUACUUAGCCCUUAGUGCUUGGAAAAUGCGAUUCAUUCCACCAUCUAUAGCCAAGCUCUCACAUUUGGAAACCUUCUGUCUAAAUUCUCACCAGAUGGUUUCAUUGCCAGAUAGCAUCUGGAACAUGAAGAAGUUGAGGCAUGUAGAUGCAUGGAGUGGGAUUGUUAUUUGUCUAUCUUCCAACGACAACGGUGUUGAAAACCUGUCCACUUUACCCAAUUUGGACACACUCUCUUGUUUGUAUCUUUGUGAAACGGGAGAGAGCCUUUAUGAAGAGGGAGAGAACAUAUUGAGAAGCAUUCCCAACGUUCGCCGACUUAAAAUUUCCGAUCGUCAGACUGGAAAUGGAGUGUUGAACAUGAGUCGACUAGAAUGCCUAGAAUCACUCACCUGGUUGGGCUAUUACUGCUCAAGUUCAUGGGAACAUGUUGAGCCUCCCUUUCCCAUGAAUUUGAAGAAGUUGAGUCUUCGCAAUCUGGGUCUUCCCUGUAGUAAAAUGUCAUUGAUUGAAGAACUACCCAAUCUUGAAGUCCUCAAAUUAAGAGACCGGGCAAUGGAGGGCCAAAGAUGGGAGCUGAUGGAAGGAGGAUUCCCUAAACUCAGGGUCUUGACGUUGGAAGAAGUAGAGGUUGUGGAGUGGAUUGACAGUGGUGAUGAUUACUUCCCGUGUCUUCAGCAAUUAAAACUCUUCGGAAUUUUUAAUUUGAAAAUGAUGCCUGCUUGUUUAGGGAGUAUAUCUACUCUUGAAACGAUUGAGAUGAAGGAUUGCAAAGAUGGCGUCAAAUCUUUAGUAAGGAAAAUUGAAGAAGAACAGAAAGAUUAUGGAAAUGAGAAUCUGAAGAUCAUUUAUGGAAAAUAUUGAAGGGUGGCUACAUCUUUUCCUAUCAAUUCCCCUUCUUUGGGUGGCUUAAUUGGAUUUCAUUAGUUGGCUAAAUUUUGGUUGUAAAAAAUUCUCAACUGCUAACCGCUUUAAUGUUCUUUGGUUUCCUCUUUUUCCCGUUGUCUGUUGGGUUCUAUGGUAUGAUAGGAAUAAAUUUUUGUUUGAUUGUAAGUAAUAAAGAUUUGCAAGUUUAUGUAACACAGAGAAACCCAAAAAAUCGUAAAUAUUGAUUCGAUCUGAACCGCAAAUUUAGGAUAUUCGAAUCGGUUUUAAUAUGCGUAGUUUGGGUAGCAGCAAAUCAGAUUAACAAAGAAGGACGUCCCGUCGCAAUUCAAAAACUUUGAAAAUCGCAGAUACCUGACCCAAUUCAUAUGUAAGGAUAAUUUUGUCCAUUAAAACUAAAAGUAAUAGAGGAAUAUAUAAUCAUCUUUCACCAAAUAUUUAUAUUUGAGAUGAUAUACUUGACUAUCUCAACAAUAUAAGUCUUAACUUGUUUAACUUGCUAAUUAUAUAGUAAUAUAUUUAGCUUUUGUUGCUGAGAAUAAGUGAUAUUUACAAACUUGUUUUUACUAUGAAUAUGCAAGUAUUGAUGGUUAUGUGAUAUUUCUUAACAAAUAAUGAAUUAUAUUUAAAUAAAGUCUUUUAGGUGUUUACUUAUUUUCUUAUUCUCAAUUAUGAAAAUAUGAUUUCUUUUUUAACUUUGGUACCGAGUCUAGUCAUUCGAGUACUCUAUGACCGUGGACACAGUUAUUAUUUAAUUUUUUGUCGAACCAAUAGAACUGGUUUGAGUUACGAAGAAGCGCAGAGCUUCCCCGUGGAGGCCAAUUGUGUAUUUUGUCCGCCCAAGUGGUACCAGGACUUCAACCCCAAGACCCUUAUACACAAGGACUAGGGUUCGAAUCCUGGGGAGGCCCCCCUCCAAGCACCCGAUGCUGGGGCGGACAAAAUACACAAUUGACCUCCACGGGGAAGCUCUGCGCUUCUUCAAGUUACAAAUCUGAAAGGACACCCAACCCGUGAAAUAUAAUCACGGACUGAUGCUGACUCCUCUUUACUCUUUGCUCAUGGCUUAAGGCCCUUGUUAGUAGUUAUAUAAACUCAAAUCAAAGAUUCCAUCAAACUAAAAUCUCUAUUGAAGUCAUUUUACUAUUUUCUUUUGAAAAUAAAAACUAGCUAUUGACUUUUGGAUUAUAAGAUUGAUUUUUGGAGCAUGCAUAUUGAACAACAAUGCUUGAAUUUUCAACAAAAAAGAAAAAAAAACAACGAAAUAAAGCUAACGUAGAUGACUAAUUAUAAAUUAUCAUUCUCUUUUUCCCUUUCACUUGAAAAUGAAAGAAACUAUUUUUGUGAUAACAAAAAUUUCUGUUCGACUUUAAUUUUUUCCUUCCUUUUUUUUUGGCCCCUUAUAUGGUCUUUUUCUCUUGAAAAUUCCAAGAAAGUCUUACCUUAUGGAAAGCGAAAAUCUUUUAAUUUUUUUUUUUUAAAAAAAGGGGUCUAGGUGUAGGGUCCCUUUCUUAGUGGACAAUGCCGAAACUGGUGCUUUUUACCUACGAAAUGAGAGUGAAAUAAUUCAUUCAAAAACCAUAAAGUAAUGAGUUAAAAAAUUCUUUGCUUUUUCUCGUGAUUCCAGCACUGCCACCACUAUGAUUGUUUGUUGAAUAAUUGAAUAUUCCACAAGAAAAAUACUGGCUAGGCGAGAUUUGUUAAUAUUUCUCCUUAUGCUACACUAAAAAUUUGAGAGUGAAAUUGAGGAAGUGCCUUGCAUUAUAAGAGCUGGAGAUGACCUCCACUUGCAUAGAACCGAUCUAAUUGAGCUCAUCUAUAAGUGGAUAUUAAUUAUAAUAUUUUCCUUGAAGCAAUUUAAAAUAGAUGAUCAGUCUUAACGUUAAAAAGUAUGUCUACAUAUCAUAAGGUUUAGGAGUAUUUUUUUUAAUCAAACUACUUGAUUUGAUACUUUGAUUAAACAACUUGAGCUCAGUCAGCCAAUAUUGAGACAGGAAAUGGGGCAGGGACGGUCAUCAAUAUGAACAUCCCUGAGCAGUUAAGGGCCAUGAUUUGGCCAAAAAAUUUUGUGCGGUCCAGAUAACAAGUUGUGCAUCGAUUUUCACACCAUGUGUGGAAUCCGCAAAAUUUUGUACUAAAGUUACACGCUGUACAAACAAAGUUAUGCGCUGUUGAAAAUAGCCAAAACCGUUGGGGACGGUUGCAACCGUCUGUGCCCCUUGUCUAUUGAGACAGUUUCGCUGCUAAAAUGCUGGUUUCCGAGAGAUUCGUUUGCAGUCUUACCUAAAAGAUAAAUACAACAGUAUAAAUACCUUAUUAAUUCAUUAGUUGUGUAUAAUAUUAUUAAAUUUAACCACAAGAGAAUAUGAAAAUGUUCUUGCGACAUAUAUCAAUUAGCCCAAAAUUGUUCAGGUCCCCGAAAAUCUGAAUAUAGUUGCUCACGCAUAUUAAAAAUGGAGCAGGUUAGAAUCACAAGGCUACAGAUCGGCUACACAUUGUGGAUGAAAUCUUCUCCCAUCUAAAACAUUGCCCCUUAAAAGGCUAGAGCUUGAAUUAAGGAACGGGAAAAGGGACCGUCCAGUGGCCAUUCUUUACCAGAACACUAUCCGGUCUCCGUCAAUCUAUCGAAUUCUGCACAUGAAUGUGGAAGAAAGACUAAUGUUAAGAGUUGAAUUGAUUUUCAAUAGCUGUAACAGUGUAUUAUUGUAUUAGCAUGCAUUUCGGUUCUGACACUAAGUGCGUUUGAUAAAAUUGAAAUAUAAAAUCUAAAUUUAUUAAAUUAUUAAGUAUUAAAUUUGAUAUAUUUGAAUGUAUAUCAUAUUAAGUAAUAAAUAAAUAAUUUAUUACUUAUUUUUUAUAAUAUAUUUGCCAAUAAAAUUUAGUACUAUUUAAUUAAUUCAGAUGUUUAAUUUUUGAUUAUCAAAUAUGUUUGAAUAUGUUAAAAUCUGAAUCUAUUAAAUUUAAGUAUUAAAUUGAAUUAUUAAACAGGACCAAAAUCUCAAUCAACUCGUGGAAGUUUUCAACGUAAAUAAUAAGAAUUGAUAUCAAACAUUUAAAAAUAUGGGUAUGCCUUAGCCAUGAACCCCUGUGUUAAAAAGCAAGGAAAGGGAGGGUUCUCUAGCCGUGCUUGACCCGAAGAACAGCCAGUCCCCUUCUCUCAUUUUCCAAUGGACACCCUCAAUGUUGAAGAAAGAGUAAUGAGAAGACUUUCAAUUAAUUUCCAAUGACUCAAGUAACACUAAAAUGGGCAAAUACUUGUGUCUGGAUAGGAGAUUAUUUCGGAUGAUUUUUUUUUAAUAUUGUAUCAGUUUUUUAUAUAAUAUAUAUGAGAUAAAAAGAUAAUUAAAAAAUAUAUUUAUGAUACAAGUAAAUAAAUUAGUAUAAAUAAUUAGCGCGCAAUUAAGUCCUGACUCUUGAAAAGAAGUACUGCUGCUAAUUAGUAGAGUUCUUUACUUCUUUAAGCCAAUCAUUUUCUUUGACCAUUGUAUAUUGGUAACAUUAAUGCACUCAUUAAUUUUGAACGUUAUCAUUUUACUCUUUAUAGUUAUUAUCUUAGUGUUUAUAUUUAUUAUGAUUAGGACUGUCAAUGGGGUCAGGCCACCUGACCUCGGCUGGUUCGGCCCAAAAAAAAUCCGAUGAACUCGACCUUUCACUGAGCCGAUUUGAGUUUGACCCUAAAAAUUGCACUCGAAUUAAAUAUGAGCCGAGUUUAGACCUCAUUAGGCUCAAAUCCAAUAUAGGUCCAACCCUUAAAUUAGCUAUAUAUAUAAUAUAAUUAUAUAUCCAAAAAUAUUAUUACUAAAUAUUAAAUAUAUACAAAUUACAAAACACAAAAAUACAUUUGAAGACUUCUCUACUAACUUUCUUGAGAGCCGAUAUUGAUAUUGCGUGACUAAAAGUCUAACUUUUCUUAUUGGUUGAAUAAAUUUUUUGGUUGAUUUAUUUUUGGUCUAGUAACAUAAAUCAUCAAGCAUGUUUGGAUUUAAGUUACAAAGGUACGAAGAAGUUCCAACUUUUGAAAAUGUAUUAGCUUAUGACCGCAUAAUUUAUUACUAUUUUUCAUAUACUUUGAACGAAUUAGAUAUAAAUAUUGUUCAAAAAUUCUUGAUUUAUGUACUUUUUAAGAACUAUUACUUGUUUAUGUUUAGUUUUAAUGUUAUAGUCCUGUGAAUAUUAAAUUAGUUUUACAACUCAAUAGUUUUGGUAAUCUAUAUCUAUAUAAUCUAUAUUUAUUCCAAAUAAUAUUUCAAAUAAUACUCUAUUCAUAUUUCAAACAUGGAUGAAUUAAAAUACUCAACCCUUACUCCACAUCUGCUAUCAAAACAAGGCUUCUUAAUUACGAAGUUUAACAAAUUAAACUGUGGAUAGUCGAUUUUUUCCUACUCACUGAUUGCCUCGUGACAAGAAGUGGAAUUAUUGCAAAAACAGGGGCUUACAAUAAUUGGAGAAGGGGCAGGAACGGUUACCGUUAUCCUAGGUUCAUGGUUAAGAUUUGAUAAAAAAAAAAAUAUAUGAUUCAAAUUGUAUCUUAUAUAUUAUUUUUCACACCAUAUGUAAGACUUAUAAAAUUUUAUCUUGUAAUGAUAUGUUAUUGAAAAUAAGUUACACCGUGUUCAUAUAUAGUCACACGUUAUGCAUUUUACACAAAACCUUCACGCCCUGCCCUCUGUCCGCAAUAAUUCUGGUCUGUGGAGCCGGGACCCCAUUGCGUGGAAAUGGAAUACAAUAAUUCCCAAUAAUUCUAUGAAACCGGCCCACCACUCAUCAAAGGUUCAGAUGCACUGAGCCCACCACUCGCAUAUGUCUGCUAAUACAACUUAUAUAUUCCACUUUAUAUUCCUCUCUAUUAUACGUUUAUAAUAGAGAGGGACUGAUCCGUCUGGACCAUUCUUGGUAGGGAUUAAUCCUACCUUUAAUUUAGUUAUUCUACAUGCUUUGGACCGUAAAAUCAUCGAAGUGUCUCAAAUCCCCUAAGCUACAGUUAUUGUGAAUGAAAGUCGACUAAAACAAAGGCUUUUCCUCGUACGAACGAAUAAUUUAUCUUCUGUUAAUGAGAAGCUAGCAUACAGCUCCUGUGUGUUUAGUUUAAUUUAUAAGUGUGUGUGUAUUAAUUUCCGAUUGUGGAAAAAGAGAAGCUAGCAUACAGCUCCAUGUUAUUCCUAAACUUGCACGAAUAGUGUGUGAAACCAUACUACUAUUUUGAAAGAAUUAGAGUGCAAAACGGUAGAAUUAACUACUUUGUUUUGGCAGUUCAAGCUUUCAAGGCCUGGCUCAGUUGUACUUAUUUAUAUUCAACUGAAAGAAUCCAUUAAACUAAAACCUCUAAUGUCAUUUUACUUUUUCCAAAGCAACAAAAAUGAAAAUUGUUAUUUCAUAGAAUUUAUGUAUGUAAUAAUAGGAUGUGGCUAUAUGGAGUAAAAAUGCUUAAAUUUUUCAAAGAAACAAUCAAUUUAUAAAGAUUAGGGUAAAACAAGUCUGAAUUGAGCAAUUGGUUAAAUUUUUACGCUUUUUCAGUGUGGGUGCAGGGACCUUUGCUAAUGGAAAAUACCAGAGUGGUCCUUCUCAACUCCAAUAUGAGUAUGAAAUAGUCCAAAAAUAAUAAACUUGUCAAUGAAAACAUCUUUAAUCUACUAAACACAAGAUGACUUUAUGAUAAUUCCAACAUUUUCUCUUUUGCCUUGCUGAUCUUUUGUUUCUUACUCUGUUUGUUUGUUAAACAAUUGAGUAUCUAAUUUCUUUUCUUCACUACCCUACAAAAAAAUAAUAAUAUAAAAUAAAAUGAAAGAAGAGUAAAUUUGAUGGAAGAAAGACUUGUUGGCCCUGGGGUGAGAUUUGUUUCUCCUUUACCUGUACUAAUAUUUGAGAGUGACAUUGAGGAAAAUCCCUGCAUAAGAGUAGACAAGUAUUUGAGGCUGAGAUCCUUCGAAUUUUUUUCAGAGUACAAAAUUAAUGUGUUUGUAAUACAACAUUGGUUAUCGAAAUGACCCCAAUAGAAAAUGUUUCAAGAAUGCAUUUUUUCUGUGAAAAGAAGUACUACUACUGAUUAGUAGAAAUUUUCACUUCUUUAAUCCAAUCAUCUUCUUUGACCGUUGUACGUAACAUUAAUGCACUCCGGUAACAUUAUUAAUUUUGCAAGUUAUCAUUUUACUGUUUAUAUUUAUUAUUUUAGAGUUUUACAUUUAUUAUUUUAAUGCAUAUCCUUAUACUAUAUAAGAAUGACUGUAGGGCAAAGAUUUCAACCGCAAGGAUAGGGCUAUUUUGGGAAUAUGAGAGUAUUUGAAGUGUAAUUUGAGUAUUGAAUAUGAAUCAUUAUAACUGAUUUGGUUUUUUUUAUAAUUACUUAAAUGUUCUUUCAGACAUUUAAAGCUAUGGAUAAGUUUAACAUGUGACAAUAUUCGAUAUCCAAUUAAAUAUUCUGUACAAUUGAAUUCAGCUUGUGUUUUAGUGGAAUUAUAUAAAAAUCCUUUUAAUCAUUUAAUUGUAUUAACAUCUAAGUCUCUUAAUUUCUUAAAGCCUUUCUCAACAGUUAUUUGCAAACUUAUGAUAUAUAGAUGUUAAGGCACAAUUAAUGCUGAUUAGUAGAGAAGUUUGGUUUCUUGGCCGUUACCAUAGUAACCCCUAUCUAUUCAAAUUAAUUUCAUUUACCUAUAACUUUGUUCCACUACAAUCAUGUAGUAUAUUAAAUUCAGAUGUUGCUAUAUUAGCUACUACUCUUUCCCAUUUUGCAACAUCUUUCUCAAUAGGUUUGUUUUCUUUAGCUAAUCUACUUUUUUGGUUGUAAGAAAUUUGUAAUCUUGCAAGUUGUAUGUGCAAUACUUUUUUUAGUGUUUUAAUUCAAUUGCCCAUGUUAGAUAGACUUGAUAGGGAGGAGAUCACAUUUGUUAAUUGUUAUUUGUGGUUUAGAAUAAGUUUGUCAUCAUAAAUUUUUUCAUUAAUAGAUUGCAUCUACUUCUUUUGUUGUUUUAACUAUUAGUUACGGUAAUUUUCAAAUCAUUUGCUACUUUUUUGAUGAUUCCAUUUAGGCAAUUUUUCACUUCAUUUGAUUUGCCAAUAUGUUUAACUAUCUACUUAAAACUAUUUGGCUGCAAAUCUAAAGUAUGUACUUCAUUACUUUUAAUUGUUUUCUUAAAUUGAGUGGAUUAAGAUGUUUUAGUACUUUUUUUGAGGUAAUUAUUCAUCUAGAUUAGCGUGUUAGUUAUUGUAUAUCUUUGCAACUAGAUAAAAAACUGAUGUUUUGUGAUUGUAACCCCUAUCGAGAAGGAGGUGCUUUGCUAUAUGUCCUAAAUUAUAUAAUAAAUCAUAAUUGAUUGAUUUGUCAAUGUGAAACUUUCAUGAUGAUAUGUUCUUGGAAUCAAUAUAAAUCAAAGAAUUUGGCUUGUAAGAACCGAAAUUUCACUAGCAAUGAUUUCUUCAAGUAUGCUAAUUUUUCAAAUCUCACUUAUAUGAUAAGAUAAUGAGAUAGAUUGCCCUCAUAUCAAGAUCAAAUUCAAACUAAACGACAAAAUUUAACAUUCCCAAAAUGCAUGAGCAGAUAUAAGUAGAUCUUUUAUUCUAUUAGAUUAGACACAAAGUAAUUAAUCAUAUUUUAUAAUUAUAUUUUAUUGCAUAUUAUAUAUUUUGACUCAAUAUGUAAUUUAUGAUUUUUCUGUUUAAUAUCACAUAAUAAAAUUGUCAUACUUCAAUUCUUAUACUACAAAAUACUAAAUAAUAAUUAUUAACUAUCUUUACUUAUAGGUACUAAACUCCCGUGCAUGGCGCCGGCUUUUUCCACUAGUAUUUUAUGAUAUAAUUGACACUAGUAAUUGCAGACAUCCCCAAUUCUUUGCUUCCACAAUACCAAGGGUUGAAGAAGCCCUCAAUUUUUUUUUUCUCAUACUUUUUACUUUGUUGGCCAUGGUUAUUAAUCUCCAAGAUCAAUGGUCAUGAUUAUUAAAACGAGAUAAUUAGAAGAGAAAGUGAUCAAAUUUAGUGGUUUGCUGAAGAAAGAAAACAAUGGAAGAAAAUUAGAGAGCUAGCUUGAAGGUUCAUUAUAUUUUGAUCAUUUAUAUUGUGACGUGUCUUGGAUCAUUUAUAUUUUGAUGUCUCUUUGUUUUCUGUUCUUCCUAAUUAUAAAGUUUAACAUAUUAAACUGUGGAUGCUUGAAGCAAAAAAAAAAAACAUAUUAAAACAGGGACGCGCUAUAAGAGAAGGGGCGCCAUUGUGUGGGAAUGGAAUACAAUCAUUCCCAAUAAUUCUUUGAAAUCGGACCCACUACUUUAUUGAGGCAAUAAUUAGAUGUAUAAUAGAGAGGGGGCUGCUCCGUCUGGACCACUCUUGCUUUGGACAAUAAAAUCAUCAAAGAGUCUUAAAUCACUGCUGUUAUUGUCUUAAAACAUAGGCUUUUAUGUGAUCCCUAAUAUCAAAUUUCCCUAAUAAAAUGUUGAUGACAGAGUAAACUAAUCUUGUUUAUCAAUUUCCUCCAUUUGUAAUUAGUUCAAGAUAAAUUUGGAUUUUGGGUGCCUAGCUCCAAUUCCACCUAGUUGAAUAAUUGAUUAUCAUUGCCUGGGGUCCACCUUGAUGCCAAUUCCACCUAGUUGAAUGGUUGGUUGUCUCAAUACUCUUCUUCACCUUCUCACCAGAAACAAAUAAGCAAUUUUCAGGAAAGAAAUACUUUGCUAGCUCUGCAGUUAGUGAGAUUUGUUUCUCUCUUAGAAUUUGAGAGUGAAACUGACGAAAAUCCCUCCAAAAGAGAUGGAGAUGGCCUCCACUUGCAGCAUCGAUCGUGUCUUACUUGAUCUAGAGUCGCUCCGGAACAGCUCCGGAAUAUCCCUUUAUCUUCUUUACGAUGUUCGUGAAGCAAUCAAACACAUGAAAUUUCUCCAAACAUUUCUUAUGUGUGCUAGAAAGUGGAGCCAAAGCAAUGAUUUGUACUUGCAAUCUGACAAUGUUGUGAAGAGGGUAAGUCUUCCAUCUUUCCUAUCUUGUAUCGAAGAUACCUUUCACAAAUAUGAGGAGGAUAUUCACUCUCUUUCCCGUGAUAAGAUAUAUGUAGUGUUCCGCGAAAUUAGGAAACAGAUCAUAUUAUUCAAGCAAGAAAUCAUCCAAAUUUACUUUGCUUUGGCAACUUUGGCAAGCAACAGGUCAUUUCAAUCAAAUUCUUGUAUGACAGAUGAUGAACUGUUGGAAUUCAUAGACCUCAUCCUGCAAAAUCUAGCAGAUUUGACAAAUGACGAUUUGAAUUGGAAAAUUACUAAAUCGUCCAUUUAUGCUGCUUUGAGUGCUCAAGUCCAAGAUCUUGAAGCAAAGCUGACAUUCUUGAAAAGCUCCAUUCCCUUUGCCAAAAUGCGAGGAACCGCAGAUAUUCCUGCCUUGCUAUUGGCUCACUUUGAAGUGGUGGCUUUGACCGCAGCACGCCUCUCUUACAUGUGUUCUUUUUGGGAUGAUGAUGACGAAAAUAAAAAUCCUGGGUUCUACUCCAGAAGAACUUGCAGCUUCAAACUCCUCAGCAUGAGAGCGGUUGAUUUUCAUGUCUACGAGAUUUAUAAGGAAGUACUUGCAGCUUCAAACUCCUCAGCAUCAUUACAUACAGCAGUGAUGGAUGAGCGGAUAUUGAACAACUUCAACGAUUCUCUGAUAGGACGUCUCUGGGAGUUGUUAUGCUGCAGCUCUAGCUUUGUGGAUUCUAUGAAAGAUGAAAUGCAAACACUCUAUGCAGAACUGAGGUUUUUGAGAAGCAUUUUAAGGGAGCAUCAUGCGAUGAUGGAUGAACAAAAUGAAAAAAUUGGAGCUCUCCUUGGUGAGGCAGGCAUUAUAAUAUUCUCGCCCACUCUGAGCAGAGUGAUAGAAGGAGAAGUUAGCUUCUCAGGAUCCACCCAGGUUCUUGAUUUUUGUGAUCUGCUGGCCAAUAUCAAGCAUUUUAAGGAUCAGAUCAGUGGCUCAAGUACUAUAGAGAGUCUUCCUAAUUCCUCUCAUAGCUUAAGAGCACCAGAAGUUAGCCAGACUUCCAGCCGCAUGCUAUCAAAAGGUAAAAUGCCAAUGGACCAUGAAGUCAUGGUUGGUCUUGAUGAUAAGGGAGAACAAGGAAUUGAACCACUUAUCAAGCAUUUUGAGGAUCAGCUCAGUGUCUCAAGUACUAUACAGAGUCUUCCUAAUUCCUCUCAUAGCUUAAGAGCACCAGAAGUUAGCCAGACUUCCAGCCGCAUGCUAUCAAAAGGUAAAAUGCCAAUAGCUCGUGAAAUCAUGGUUGGUCUUGAUGAUGAGGCAGCAAAAGUAAUUGAACGACUUAUAUGGGGAUAUAUGGGGAUCAGAACAGGUGGAAAUUGUUCCCAUUGUGGGAAUGGCUGGGCUUGGUAAGACAACUUUAGCCAAAAAAGUUUACAAUAAUAUUUCAGUAACCUGUCACUUCCACAUUCGUCUUUGGUGCACUGUUUCUCAAGAAUUUAACAUGAAAAGCUUGUUAAUACAAAUUUUGUGCUCUAAUGGAAAACAGUCGAGGAUGGAUGAAGAGCUUAAAAAAUUGAAUGAACAUGCGUUGCUUGAAAAGCUCCGUCAAAGGCUAUUGAAGAAUCGGUAUCUUCUUGUUUUUGAUGAUGUCUGGGACAUUGAGGUAUGGAAUGAGCUGAGAACUGCAUUCCCCAAUGACAAGAAUGGAAGUAGAAUCAUCUUUACGAGUCGAUUUUCUAAUGUAGCUUCAGAUUCAAAGGUUCAAUAUGGUGGAGAACCUCACUAUCUUCACCCACUCAGUGAGAAAGAAAGUUUCGAAUUGCUGCAGAAGAAGGUGUUUGGAGAAGAAGAAGAAUGUCCUCAAGCAUUGCAUGAAUUGGGAAUGGAGAUUGCCAAAAAGUGCAGGGGAUUGCCACUUGCACUUGUUGUUGUAGCUGGAGUCCUGGCAACUAUAGAGCAUGAUAUUUGUGUUUGGGAAGAAUUUGCUGAAAGUUUUACUUUGACCAUGGUGUCUGGUGCAGACCAGUGCAAGAAGUCCUUGGAGCUCAGUUUUGAGCAUUUACCAUACCACUUGAAGGAAUGCUUGCUGUAUUUUGCUGCAUUUCGAGAAGAUGAAAAAAUUGGUGCCAAGAAGUUGAUGUGUCUAUGGAUUGCAGAAGGAUUUGUGGAAAUAAUUGAAGGAGAGAAAUCAGAGGAUGUUGCAGAAAAAUAUCUGAUGGACCUAAUUGGCCGAAACCUAGUUAUGGUAGGUAAGAACAGAUCCAUUGGUGGAGUGAAAACUUGUUACAUUCACGAUUUGAUAUUUGAGUUCUGCAAGGGCAAGGCGAAAGAAAAGAAAUUCCUUCAGGUCCUGCGAGGAUAUGAUGAGCUUUCUACCUUUAAUGAGCCUCCCAACCUACCUCGGUUGUCCAUUUGCUCCAGUGGCAAAGAUUUUAUGAAGUCAAAGCUAUUUUGUCCAUGUUUAAGUACUCUGCUAUUCUUUGAUGCUACUCCAGGAUAUAAUAAGUUGAAGUUGCUUAAUAUCUCCUUCCUUUUUUGCAUCUACAAACAUCUUAAAGUUUUGAAUUUAGAGGGCAUUAACCUAAUGUUGAAGGAGCUUCCAGCUGAAGUUGAAUCACUUCUUUGUUUGAGGUACUUAGCCCUUAGAGCUUCGGAAAUGGAAUUCAUUCCACCAUCUAUAGCCAAGCUCUCACAUUUGGAAACCUUUAGUCUAAAUUCUGAUGAGACGGUUUCAUUGCCAGAUAGCAUCUGGAACAUGAAGAAGUUGAGGCAUGUACAUGUAGAGAAUGGCGUCGUUAUUCCUUUCUCUUCCAAUGACAACGUUGUUGAAAACCUCUCUAACUUAGACACACUGUCUACUCUGGAGCUUUAUCUUGAUAAAGAGGGAGAGAACCUGUUGAGAAGGAUUCCCAACGUUCGCCAACUUAAAAUUUUCAAUUGUGGGAAACAAAAUAGAGUAUGCUGCAACAUGAGUCGACUAGAAUGCCUAGAGUCACUCGGCUUAGGGGGCUACGGCUUCUUAGGUUCACGGGAACAUGUUGAGCUUUCUUUUCCGACGAAUUUGAAGAAGUUGUGUCUUUACCGUCUGGGUCUUCCCUGUAGAAAAAUGUCAUUGAUUGAACAACUACCCAAUCUUGAAGUCCUCAAAUUAAGAGAGGAGGCAAUGGACGGCCAAAGAUGGGAGCUGAUGGAAGGAGGAUUCCCUAAACUCAAGGUCUUGACUUUGGAAUACGAAAGGAUUGAGAAGUGGAUAGAGGCAGACCCUGACAGUUAUGAUUACUUCCCGUGUCUUCAGCGAUUAAAACUCUUCGGAAUUUUUAAUUUGAAAAUGAUGCCUGCUUGUUUAGGGAGUACACCAACUCUUGAAACAAUUCAGGUGGCGCAUUGUGGAUAUGGCGUCAAAUCUUUAGUAUGGAAAAUUGAAGAAGCACAGGAAGAUAAUUAUGGAGAUGUGAAUCUGAAGAUCAUCAUCAUAGAUUGAAGGGCAUCAGCUGGUGCAAUAUCUGGUAAUUUUUAUUUUUUUUUGUCAUCACCAUCAUAGAAAUAAUCAUGCUUUUCAUUUUUAAACAAGUGUAAUUUAUAUUUACCGUUUGGUAGCUUUUUUGUACUUCAGUAGUUGCCUGUAAUGCAUGCACAAGCGCAUUGAAAUUGAUGAACAAACAACUAAUUAUUAAUUGCUCUAUUUUUUUUUUCCUUAAUGAUAUCAUUAGGGAGUGCAUGCUACGGUGGUUUUUCCUCUUCAGAUUGUAAUUGGUUAUCUGUGCGGUCUGGUUUUCUAUGAUACUUUUGUGGAAGAUGAAGGUAAAAGUUGGAAAGGAUCCAUGGCUCUUUUCUUGUCAAGAUAUGGUGGAAACAAUCAAUGAGAUUAUUCAGAUAUUUUGUUGUUGGCCUAUUUUGUGUAAUUUCGUUUUGCUGAAUUUAAUGAUGGUUUUGUGCUAUUUCUUUUCAAACAUGUGUCAAUUUGCCGUCAAGGAACUUUGUUAUCAUUUUGAUAGAAUUGAUUAACAAUUUAUGUUUGAGCUCAUGAUUCUUGGAAGAAUAUGAUAGCCCAAUUUGGAAACCUCUAUGAUCAUCUCUUUUCUGCUCAAUCUUAGGUUUGGAUUUAGGAUAUCCAACUUUGAGAUUUGCUAAAUUUUCAGGAUCAUAUUUUACUUCUUUAAAUUGGAGAAUUUUUGCAAAAGAAUGUUUUUAACUUGGUUUUUCUGCUGCUUGAGCUAAUUGCUCGAAAGGGCAUUAGCUCCAAGGAGCUUUAAAGGUGAUAUGUUUGUAUGAAUAUUUAAUUUUCCAUUUUUGAAUUCCACACCAUAUGUUUUAGAUGAUAUAUAGAGCUAGGGAUAAAAUACCCAAAUUGGAGAGAAAACGAGUAUAUGUCAAGUGUGUACAAUGAAUUUUGGGCUAAUUAACGUAUAAUCAAAAGAAAAAAAAUGAGAUUUGGAGAUUUUCAUAGUUAAAAAAAAAAAAAAAAGAGCAGCUAACUAAAUUCUUCGUGAUGCGAAGAACCAAAAAUAGUAAUCUCACUCUUUCUAAAUACAUGAAUGAAAUUUAAUUGGAUAAAAUAGGAAUCACAUUUUGCCAACAUCGGGCCUAAAACAAAGGAAACACAUAAACGAUUAAUCGUUGAAACUACCAAAACAAAUAGGAAAUAGGGUUCUACGGCGUUCUAAAAAACUGGGCUCUUCGGGACGAUGCGUAAGCCCAUAUGCUCCUCUCAAGCUGAAAAAUAGAAAUGUUUAUGAGACAUUUUGGACUCUCUCUCACCUCAACCCACAUUAUAUUGAUCUUGUAAGGCCCACAUUUUAGCAACUGUUUCACGUAUGCAUUUAUCUAGUUUCUAAUCGAUUUGUUCUGAAUACUUGUGAUGAUUUGAUGAGAAUGGACUUAAACUCGUAAUCUACUUUUGCUUCUCUUUAGGGUAAAUUCGCCACCUAUUUAUUGCGAAUCAAUGGACAAAUUCUCUUUACUACUACUUGAUAACACUUUGUGCUUAGUAUAUCAAGACCAUAAAUGAGUAUGUUAACUUUUUACAGAACUUCCAAAGGUUGAGAUUUUGAUUUUUUACAGCAAAUCAUGUCUCAAUUAGUCUUUUAGAGGUUAGGGAUAUUAACUGUCAGUUAAUAAUCCUUUCAAGUCAUGCCCCACUUUCAUCACACAUUCUGGCUAAGGCUUAGUUAACUUUAACCAAAUGAGAAAGUAAGGGUAACAGGUAACGCCAAUGUGGUUCUACUUGCAAAAACUAGGACACGCGCAAGCUGCAAGUCUUACCUAACGAAAAAUGAAUAAAUUUGUAAGACAUGUCAGAUUGGCCCUUCUCACUAUGAAAUGAUUAAUCAUCUAAUUGUGAAUCUACAAUACAAAAUAUGAUAGAAUCUGUUGACCUCACUUUAGACGGAUUUGGCUCCUCUCUAGUGAGUUCUUUCUUCAUUUUGUACAAUGCAUGUUUAGAUGUAUGACACACGUCUUCAGUUACUAAGAAGGGACAUGAUCAAUUUAAAUUUGACUAAUCCUAAUUAUUGUUAAUAAAUGAAUAUACGUGUCAUACAUCUAGAUGAAUACUGCGGAAAAUGGAGAGAGAAUCAAUUAAAGAUGAGCCAAGUCCCACUUUAGAUUGGUUUUCAAUUUUGGCGCUUGUUUUAUUCCGUGGAUCUUUCCAAUACAAAAUAUGGUUACUCUUGGUUUGUGAGGGUAUUACUAUUAUUUAGAGUGAAAUUGCUCUGGUAAGAGCAUAAUUAUUUUGGCAAUAUAGCUAACCAUUUUCUAUACUUUGCUACCAAGACGUACUAUCGAUAAGGUUUUGUUAAACAAAUGAUUUAUAUGUUUUUUUGGAGGAGAAAAUUGAUAGCAAUAUGAAAUUUAAAUAGUUAAAUUUCUAUUCUUUUUAACUAAUUUUAAAAAAUUAUCUUAGUACGUAUUCCUAAAACAAAUGCCCACUAUGUGCAACGCUUAUGCUCCUAUGCUAAUUUCAUCAAAAUAGAUCUUAUAAAAAUUUCUUAUAAAUUUUAGUUAUAAACUUAACAAUUUUCAUUUGAAGUCUAAAAACACCAUGUAACAUAAUUGUUAUAGGCUUUUCAAUGGUAUUUUGUUAUAUAUGUGACCAAAAGUGUAUUCAUGACAUCCUUCUUCAACAUUUUUACUCUAACCUAGUCUUUUUUUUUUCGGAGGCAAUAAUUAUUAUAUAAUCUAUUUUAUGCUAGUUUUUUUACUCUAUGUUUGGAUUGUAAAUUAUUUGAGAUAAUUUUGUAAAAAAACACUGUAGCAUUUUUUCGAUUUGAUGUAUGUAAGAUAAAAUGAUGAUUGAAAAAUGUGUUGAUGAUGCAAGCAAAUCAGUGUGUAUAAAUAAGGUGUAAAUAAAGUGAAAUAGAAGACAAUCCAAACACUUUAUCUCAAAUACAUUUUUCAAUUACUUUUUUGAUGCAUGCAUUAAACUGCUAUAAUACAUUUUUCAAGAAAAAAACCCCAAAAAAAUAGAAAUCCGAACAUAACUAUUUCGUAUAUUACAAUUCUUUCAAGAGCAUUUGAUACACUAAAAUUCUCAUUAUGUAACAAGCCACAUUGUGAUACAUUUCAAAUUCUCUAGAGGCAGAAAACUAUGAUGUGAUUUCUAAAGAAAAUGUAGGAAGAACCAGUCUUGGUUCCUCGUAUGACAAAACAAUUUCAUUAUUAAUUCCCCAUAUUGCAUCUUUACCAUACAUGAUUCUUUAAGGUAUAAAUAAUUUAACUUCAGUCCUUUGCCUUUUAAAAUUUUAAAUUCGGUCCUUAUCUUUAUGAAAUUUGCACUUCAAGUCCACUCCUCCAACAACCAACAUGCCUUUCAAGAGUAUAAUGUUAGAAAUAAGAGGGAUCAAAUAUGUCAAGAAAAAUUAAGAAUUGAAGAUCUAAAUGAGAAGUAUGCAAUUCUUAAGGAAGAAUAUAUUAUCUAAAGUGAAACAUACUAGGCUAUAGUAAGACUGGUCAAGCAUACAUAGGACUAAAAACUGCAAUUUUUGCUCGUACUCUAUCCAUCAAUAUGUUCUUUACCCUUUGCGCUUAGAAUAAAGCUUGAUAGUUGAUACAUGAUUUUUAUAUAUUUCAACUCGUUUAUUGAAGUAAAGCUUUAACUUUCAUUUUGUUUCAUACUAGCAAUUAUCGAGUAUCUUAAUUAACUCAAUUGUAGAUAUUUGAAUGUAGAUAUUAAGAGAAAGUUGAAAACACAUUUCGCUUUUAGAGAAAAUGAGGAACUUACUUUGCUACAUUAGCCCAGUGAACUCAAAAAAGAUUUUACAACAUAUGACCAUCAUUUUUUGGUGUAUAAAAUGUACAAACGAAUAUUUCUAGUUUAAAGUCUUCGUUUAAAUAGAAUUAAUAUUCUUAUGGAAGAAAUAGCAAGAGAAGUUAGACAUUCAAAUUAGAUAGAAGUGUAUAAUGUGAACAAGCAUAUUGAUUAUAACAUAUUUGUGCAUUUUUCCUAAGCUUCAUUAAUACUUUCAUACCCUUUUAGAUUCAUUCUUAGAUCCAUGUACCUCUCGGAUUCAUUCCCUUUUAGAUUCAUUCUUAGAUUCAUGUAUCUCUUGGAAUUUACUAGUUCUUUCAUGUAACUUCUAAAUUCAUGUACUUUGUAAUAAUGAAUGGUACUUGUAUCUAUACUCUUGUGUUCCUAUAAAUAGAGGAUUUGGAUUUUCUAUUUAGGAGUAAAUUCUAAUUUUAUUCUUCCUUUUUACAUGUAUUUUUAUUCUUUUCGGAUUACACUUUGGUUCCAAGUAAUCCAUUACAAGGUCAAAAUCUUGAUUUGUAAAUACACGCAAUCGAUGCUAGUCGUUGUUCUAUAUUGGAAAGUGACCGCUUAGUGAACCAUAUUGCACCGUGGAAAUGUUCCUAUGGGAGUAAGAUCACUUUUACGAGUAACAGGAUAUCCUACAUUUCGACUUUCUAGUUGUCAAUUAUUCUAUUUCUUUGAAUUUUUUUUCGUAUAUCAGAGUACUUGCAUUCUAACAAUUUGGUCCUAUAAAUUCUAAACAAAUGCACUUAAGCCUCGAAUUAUUAAAAUUCCAUUAGUAUGCUCCCAUAACAUUUUUUGAUGGACUAUAAAUUUUAAAGCAUAGAAACCAUAUGAUAAACCAAUUGUUGGUAAUCUACACAAGGAAUCUUAUGAAGUUCCACAUUUCACAUAGUGAUUUUGCAGAGUGCCCUAUAUAUAGGACCACAAGGUCAAUACUAUAAACAAAGCCAAAUCGAUGUGAACAAAAGAUCAUGGAAUAAGUGACCACGUUAAGGAACAUGUAGCCAAUUAUCCAAUUACCCAAUGGUUUACCUUUAUAAAUAUAGGAUACCAAUGGAUAAUAGUUAAAACACAUUCACAGAUUUGGUAUUUUAAAUAAUGAGAUUAUGCUAUUCCUUUCCCUUUUAGACCAAUCCUUUUGGCUAUUGUGCUUUUCGAUAAAAAAGUUUCAUUAAUUUUUUGUGGAAAUACAAAAAAAAAAAAAAUUAAUUGUGUAUAAAUAAAAAAAAAAUUACUAAUUUAAUUAUUGGCACUUUGCUUAUACGUUGGAGGACUGUCAUAAAGAACUGAUAUUUUAUGGUAAUAUGGACACUUUGUGCAGCAUACUCGUAAAUAGGUAGUAAUUUAUGAAUAAAUGGGUAUAACAUAUUAAACCCACUUAUUCGCCAUUUACUCUGAUUUUAUCCAAUAAAUAAAUUAGUAAUCCAUCGGUACCCUAUAAUUAUGAAAAGGAGACUGGUGGUUAUGCAUCCAACAAAGUUACAUUUGUGUUGCUUUGUUUUGAAUCACUUUAGCAAAGUAAUACAUGAACUGUUAAAGAACAACUAGUUGAUUAAAGUUUAGAAGAGAUGCCAUGAACUGUUAGACGAAGCGGAAGCACUGAAUUUGCAUUGAUUAAAGCUCAGGAACAAUGAUGGAACAAGGUGCAAAUAAGGGACUACACAAGGAUUGAACAUUACAAUUCAUUGCUCAAAUCAAAUACAAUUGUUUAAGAUUUUAACUUACAAUUGCAUUAGAUUUGAACAACCAAAAUAUACAUAGGAAAAGCGUAUACAAAAUACACAAAAUACCACAAAAUAAGUACAAACUAAUAGCUUCAGCACGACGAAACCAAAAUCAGACCAAAGAAGCUUCAUUCCUGCAAAAAGAUGAACCUAUCCUAAGCUUUGUAGAUUGGUUCAAUGUACCCUAGUACCCUAGUCCCAGAACAAAUCUAUCCAACUUCGGAUAAGUUUUGGAUUUUGAUGGCAACAUUUCCACCGAUAUAGUCUUUGGAGGCACUUGUGCCUCAAUAUCUUCAUUGGUUUCUCCAUCGAGGCUAAUGGAUUGAAUGCUCUGCACCACUACAUAUGUGAAAAGCAUAAAUAGUCCAGCCAGCGAUAAUAUGAGCCAAACUUGAAACUAGUGCAUCUGAAAUUAGAGAAAAAAAAGGAAAGAACAGAAAAGAGAAAAAUUUAUUUCUAAACAUGAAAUCAUUCUACUCAAAUUCUUAAUGUAAUUGCAAGCAUUAAGCAAAAUACAGUUCCAAGAUUGCAAAUUUCCUGGAAACAUUUGGAGAAGUGCCAUAAAGAGCCUGAGACAGUUUGUAUGGUCCCCAUCCUAAUUAGAAAUCCCCCUAUAGUUCUUUAAGUAAAGUUAGCAUUAUGCUAUUCCUCUAACUCUCAAGGCCAGUCCCCUUUCAAAUUGAGGUCUGACCACUUCUCCACUAACUGCUUUGUAUUCUUAUUGCUUUUUUCUAGUCACCAAAACUCUCUGAUCCUUGUUCCGAGCCUUUUAGCUGUCUAAUGCAGUAGAUAGAUAACUAUCGAGAAAAGAGAUAAUGAGAUAGCAUGAACUCCUAAAGAUUCAUAUGGCAUUUGAUGAAUCACAGAAAGCAUCUCUUAAACAGAACUCCAUUGUCAAAUUUGAUGUAUCAUCGUAUCAAGAGUUUGAGAGAACCUAUGGAAAACCCGUUCUAGGAAAAAUCAUUGGACCUAGGCUAGCUGAAAGUUCUCCACAUUGAAAAUAACAGGAUACAAAGGUCUAUCUGGGACAAUUAGAGGACAACAACAUUAACAUCAUGGACCUACUACAAUUUCUGUUCCAAAAAGUACAACUUCAAAAGAAGAGGGUUUGGAAGGAUGUUAACCAACAAAGAGGAAUCUGAAGCUUGGAAUGGUUACAUGUGUAGAGUUUGAUGAGAGGAUUAUGUGACUAAAAUCUCAUUUCAAUGGUCUCUGUUUCACCAUUGGAUCAUGGAUUCAAAGCUGCUGCUUUACUUUAUCUCUGGAUCUCUUAUGCCAAUUUCAAUUUUCUCUCUUCAUUCUUUUUGUGCUCACACUACUUAUGCUUUCUCUGAAGUGAUUAGUCUCACCUGGCCUUCCUUUGCUGAAGUCAGAGAUGAUUACUUUUAGGUGAUGAACUUUUAUUUUUCUUUGGGGCCGCUCAAGUGAGAAGGAUCCAAGCUUAGCAAUUCAAGCUAUUGUCACUUGAAAAAGCACAUAUAGUUGAUGGUGCUGAAAUGUUGGGUAAGGUGGAAGUUCUUGUUUUGCAGAUGGAGAGCAAGAUUGGUGCUGCCCUGGUACAAGCUGAAGGGGGAAUUGUUGGGCUUGGGUCCAUCCCAUUUGGGUGACCCAAAGAAAAGCAAAAGCAAAUCACUUAAACUUAGUCAACUUUGACUUGAGGAAAGGAAACACAGUGAGACUAGUCAAUUUAGAAAUGGUAAAAAAAUUAAUCCAACGAUCAACCAGGCAUGGGGCUGGUCAGCGGGUUAAUUUUUCAACUGAUGGAUCACUGGUUAAAUUGUUGGUUUCCAUAAAAUAGUACAACAAUAUAAUUCAGUUGUUAACAUUCAAAUUAUUAAGAUUUUGAAAGAUAAAAGCCAACUAUUUUGAUAAUUCCAACUUGUAAUAAGUUACAUAGUCAAAUUUCUAAAUCAAAAUGUACUUGUUCCAAAUGUAAGUUUGUUGUUGUUGGCCUUCUGGUUUUAUAUUGGAUAGCUAGAAGCUGUAGAAUAGCAUAAGUAUGUUUGUGAACUAUAAGAAAUCAAUUGAAAAGUUUGAAAUAAAGAGCAAAAAGAUGGAAAGUGAUAUGAUUCUCUAUUGAAUGAUAAAAGUUUGGCUUAAAGAAGUCAUUGCGGGAUGUUUGCUCAAACCAGCCGAGUUCCCAGUCUCCCAAUUACCAGUAGGUUUUACUGGGUCCAAAUGGCUGCUGUCCUUAUCUGGUUGGUCUAGUCUGCCAUCCCAGUCCCAUGGUCGGGUCACUGAGUUGACCAAUUCAAUCGUCUGGUCGGAUUGGGUUUAAUAACUUUGCGAGAAUGCAAUAGGGAAGAAAGAAGAACAAAGAGAGACAAAGUUGAUAUUGGGACAAAGAGGUCUAGGUACAAAAAGUAUAAGCUGUAAUUUUGAAGUCGUGGAAUGGUGAAGUAACUCCGAUCGUGACUACAUUUUAGCCAUGCGAUUUUAUCACCAACUCUACAAUGUUCUGAUUAUAAUUUCAUCUUCCUCUUUGUUUAGUAAGAUCCUUCCCGAGUCACUUCCUUUGAAAUUGUAACUUUUGGUUAGGAAAUUGCAUUAGAUACACUUUACUGUUAAUGUUGUCAUCAUAUAUGUGUUCUUGCAGACACCUUCGCAUACCAAUUGAUUUUGCAGUCUGAUAGGGUGUUAAUUGUUGGUUAUUUUAUUGUUAAUUUUUCCCUUUAUCCUUGUCAAAUAUUGUUUUAAUUAUUAAUAUUUACUUAUAUUUGGUAUUGGACUCAAUUUCAGGAAGUGAAACAGAAAAUUACCAAAAAGGAGGGACUUGUAUGGAAAAAUGCAGACUUCUAAGGGCUUCAACCUUUGGGUCCUUGAAUUGGUGGGGACCACAAGCUAGUGCAAGGCAUUUAGUCAUUUGGGCUUUUUAAAAAAAGCAACGUAGAGAGACUUGAAACAACAAGUACUUUGGAGGCUUUGUUCGCAUGUGCGGGGACCACGGAUAAGAAGCAUGAGUCAUUUGGACUCUAGGAAAAGAAACGUACAAGACUUUGAUUUUGGUGUGGGGACCACUAGAGAUAGCAUUAGACUUCCUUUUGGCUUUAAAAAGGGAGACAAACGUACUGAGAAGAAAAAAUCAAUAGUUUUAAUUUAGGCUUUUAGCAUAGUUUUAGUUUUUUUUUUCUUAGCUCUUUCGCAUGGUUGUUCUCCAUUAAUGGAGGACUAACCUCUUAAUUCUAGUCAAGGGGACAACUGAAGACUUGGUUCAACAAUUACUGUGAGAUCGAAAUUAUUUUAAUCGCUUCCUUAUUUAUUGGUAUUUAUGUGUUUCCUGUUUUUAAUUGUUUUAGUCCUUAUGUAUGAUUGAUUAGUGCGCAAUAAUUAAUUAUUCAUAUAGGCUAUUUUGCUAAAUAGAGGUAAUUGAAUCCGUAAUUGUUCGUUAUCUCUAUCUUAGUAGCAACUGGCGUAAUUGGAUUUAUGUCAGGGGAGCAUACGAUCUAGCUUAAACAAACCCUCGUAGCGUGUUUGUUAGUUAGGAUUGGACCUUUCUAAUUAUUAAUGCAAUCUAGAAAUUAAAUCCUACGGUCGUACCUAGGGUUGUUUUUGGGUUAGAAAAAUAGUUAACGGUCGUACCUUAACUAUCGAGAAAUUAAGGAAAGGUUGGUUGUUUAUCGCGUGCAUGACAACUAUAACUAAUCUAUUAAUAAAUGUGGAAUUAUCUGUGAAUCAAUGAUCAGUGCCUAAACCAUUUCUGAAGUGUACUCUUGGCUAGAAUUUAACCUUAAUUAUUCCUCUUAAUCAAUUAUUUUCUGCAGUUAAAUUAUUUAGUUAGCACUUAAUCCAAAACCCCCCAUACUUUGGACUCUAGAAGAAACGAAUUAUCCCCAGUCCCUGUGGAUUCGACCCUACUCACCGCUAUAUAUAAAAUCUGUAUUUUUCUCGAGUAGGUAUUUAUUAUUGCACAGGUUCGGCACCUGUCACAGUCGAGAUUCUUUGGCAGAUUAGGUCCCAUGGUUUUUUUUUUUCCAAUUUGGGUUUGCCACAGUUACAAGUGAUGGUGUCCUGUGCUUGUUUGUUUUUUCUACUUUAAUGCUGUUGUUGAUGCCAUUUUUUAGUUAACUAGUAAUGGAGCGCGUGCUUUGCACGUGAAUAUAAUGCUUUUAGAUUUUUUUUUCUUUAAAAUUUUCAGAAAAUUAAUUAUUUUAAAGGAAUAAAUAUAAUUGGGAAAAAAUGUGAUAUUUACUAUUUAUAUUAUUUUAUAUUUUUCUAAACUUAGUUUGCUCUAACCAAUACAAGCGUACAAACAAUAAAUCAUUCUUUGUUCCAAGAGCACUUUUAUUUUGUAAUAGUAUCGAUAUUUUUGUCUUAUUUUGGUCUUUUGGUUAAAUUCAAAUGAUCUAAAUGCUCUUUUUUAUGCCAUUUGAAUUUAAAUUUUUAAUUUUUUGAAUAAUUUAUUGCUUCCCUUUAAGUCAUUCUAUGAAUUGUUUAUUAGUUUUAGUGAGAUUUUCUAAUUAUUAUUAUUUGUUUGCCAACGGUGGAUUGUAAAAUGAUCUAUAAUGCCAUUGUAAUAUAAUAGCAUCUAAACAUAUUGAAAUUCCAUAAUUCAAAUUUAAAUAGCUUAACUUUGAAGAAAAAUAUUUUGAUUAGAUGAAAUUUAGUUGUAGUUCUCAUCGAUGACAUUCUUUAUGAUUAUAAAGUUUAUAUGAUUAAAAUUUGUAAGACUUUAAGAUUAUUUAUUAUGUAAUAGUCAAGCUGAACUUGGAUAUAUUUUUAUUCACCCGUAAAGUACUCCUUGAAAUUGAUAUUUUUUUAAAAAUAUUUUUUGGCUUAAUUCACCAUAACUCAAAGGGAUGUUUCAUUUUUGUAAUUAUUAUUAUGAUUGUCAUUGAUGAAUUUAAUAUUCAUUAAUACUGUUAGUUGUUACAAGAAUAUGAUUGAUAAAGUUCAUUAAAUUUAAUCUUUAUUGCAAUUUAAAUAAAUAAAUUCCCAACAUAAAACUCUUUGCCUACCUUGGUACUCUAUUUCCUAUUAUAUUUUGUAUUAAAGUUUUUUUGUACUCAAAGCUAGUAAACGCAUAUUAAAACGGUGCUCUUAAGGCUUAAUUUAGUUGCAUCCAAAAAAAAAAAGACAAGUGGUGCUUUUUAAGAGGCUUAUAGUACCAAUUUAUUAUAUUUUGUUUAAUGUUUGAAGUACUCUCUAAACUUGGAUUUUGUAAAAAAAAAAAAGUUGUUCUUCUUUCUUUUGGUAAAUAAAAAAGUAAGGAAUCUUUCAUUUUUGUAACUGCUAGCAUGUUUGAUAUUAUUAAUUAAUGAUGAAAUGCAACACAAUUUUUUCAUUUAUUAGAGAGGAAUGUAAUUUUGGCAUCACAAAAACUAAUAUCAUUUUUUGUUACACUAUUAACCACUAAGAUUCUCCAUAUUAUUUUAUGAUUCAUAAAUAAAUUUGUUCUUACUUUUUCAAUUUAAUUCACUAUAGCUCAAGGGAAUGUUUUUCAUUCUUGUAAUUGUUGGCAUAAUUGAUAUUAAUAUUGAUGAAAUGCAAUGAAUUCAUUGUUCUUUUUUUGGUUUAAUUCACCAAAAUCACCACAAUUUAAGGAAUGUUUAUUUGUAACUAUUAGCAUAAAUCUUAUUAAUUAUUAAGAAAAUGCGAUGUAAUCUUGUCCAUUUAUUAAUGUCAAGGGUAGUAUUGGUAUCACAAUAACUAAGAUCUAUUUUUGCUUACACUCGCACUAAUGACUCAUCAUACUUUUUAUAUAGUAAUAGUAAUAGAUAGAUUUGACCAACCCAUCCCAUGUCAUUGUUUAUAUUGGGUUGUGGUUUACGUCGAUAUUUGCCUGCCUGCACCUCUACCCCUUUCCCAAUCUUUUUUCUGCAAAGAUAUUUUCAAAGGGGAUUCUUUGAGUAAUUUCUUUAUCAUUCCAUGAUCAAACGCCCCUCUACAAGCCUGAGGAAAGUGCUAUUGAGGGUUUUGAGAGGAAUGCGUGUUGGAUGCCUAUAUCAGGGAGGCAGAAAAGAUAGUUUUCUUCUUUGCUUAAUUGUGAAAACAGAUGUACUGUCAGAAGGGAAGUAUAUUUUUCUCCUAAACAAUGACAUUGAUGAUUUCAUUUUCCACUUGGUAUAUUGUGGAAGUUGUGGUCACUGAAUAUCUUUUGUGCAUGGGUAUGGUUCUCAAGCUACGGUCUCUUGCUUUCGGAAUCAAUUUCAUGGUCUAUCAUUCUCAUCGUACAGCUACCCUCUGCAUUUCCAAUGACCUUUAAGUUAUCAUCUUGCAGCUCAUUCUGAUACAACUGUUGGAAGGAUGCUUGUCGGGAACAAAUAUGAUUUGGAGAAUAUAAGGAGUGUGAGCGUGGAGGAAGGCAAGAGUCUCGCAGAAUCAGAGGGAUUGUUCUUCAUGGAGACAUCUGCAUUAGAUUCAACAAACGUUAUAACAGCUUUUGAGAUGGUUAUUCGAGAGAUCUACAACAACGUUAGCAGGAAGGUACUGAACUCUGAUUCUUACAAAGCGGAAUUAUCUGUCAAUCGGGUUAGCCUUGUCAACGAUGGGAGUGACGGUACAAAGCAGACACAAUGCUUAUAUUCUUGUUGCUCCAGAUGAUCGAAAUUUUAAGAUGGUUUCUAUUUAUUUGCCUUGAACGGUCUGUUCAUUUCUCUAUUUUUUCAUUUAUUGGCGGAUAUAAUAUUUAUCAUGGGGCUGCUGUUCCUUUUUUUUUUUUUUCCCUUGGAUACCAUAAGGACAAUGGGUAAUUAGUGAAAGGUCAACCGGGAGAACAUUUCUUUGAUCACUCAGACAUGCUUUGAUCAUUGCUUUUCUAUACUUUUUCUACCCCUCUUUUUGGACACUUGGUAUUUAAAUGAAGCAACUUCCUUCUUAGACCACUAGUCAGUAUAAGUUCUUUGAAAAGGUCAUCUCAGAAGUUCUCAGGAAAUUGCAGAUUUGACUACAUUAGAAGGAUUGCAAUAACCAAUUUUUGUGAAAAGGUAAGCAAUUGUUCAAGUUUUUUGUAUUCCUCAGGAAAAUCCAAUUUUAGUUGCAUUAGAAAUUGUGCAAUAAACGAAUUUGUGGGAUAUGUUUUGUUUCUGGCUAGCUUAAAGCCUAUUAGGUAUACAGGAAAAAAGGCCUGUUAGAAUAUAAUCUCAAGUCUGGAAUAUGAAGAAAGGAAAGGAUCUUGGAGGGUACAUCACUUGAAGAUUGGAGUCAUUAAUUGGCUGAAGAAACAGGCGUUGCUGGUCAGAAACGCCAUCUAGAAAGGGAAGAAGACUCUGGGAGUCUUGGUAAAAGUCUUUGCUGAUUGAGUGAUCAGUCACCUUUUGCUCCAGUCUUUCCCCAACUAACACCAUAAUUUAAUUCUUGAGAAAACCCCCAUUCCCAUACAAUUUCCAUAAAGUCUACCAAAAGUCUUCAAUCUUUACUGUCCAACAAUAGUACUAUUCGAGACUUUUUCUAUUUCUGCUUAAUUUCCUUGUCAUUCCAGCUUCACAGAUUGGAAACAAAAAAAUUCCAAGAAGAAUUCCACUGAAUCUCAGCGUUAUUCCUCUUGAUUCUUUGUUUAUAUUUUGAAGUACCUGGAACCCUCUUCCCAUUGAUCUGAGUUCCUGAAAACAAUUCCCCAAAGGGCAUACAUUUUUCAACAGCCAUGCCUUCAAACAUCCAAAUACCAUCAACCGAAGCAAUCAUUUCUGCUGCAGCCUCUGUAACUGCCACAGCCAUGCUUAUUAGGUCCUUCGCCAAUGAUAUCAUCCCCCAGGAGUUCAGACACUUCUUCUUCACAAAAGUUCACCAGCUUUUCACAGCAUUUCUCCAAUGAAGUCAUCUUAGCCAUCGAUGAAUACGAUGGCCUCGGCCAAAAUCAACUCUUCAAGGCUGUAGAAGUUUACUUGGGAUCCAUUCUAAGUCCGUCCACCAAAAGGCUUCGAGCCACGUUGCCUCAAAAAGAAAAGAAAAUCAACGUUUACAUGGAAAGCAAUGAAGAACUCACCCAACAAUUUAACGGCAUCCAGCUAAAAUGGAGGAUGGUUCGUGAGCAGAUUCAACCGAGAUACGUUACGAUGCCUGGUGACUACAAUUCAACUAUGAUAUCUGAACACCGGUAUUAUGAAUUAAUCUUUCACAAGAAGCAUAAGGAAAUGGUUAUUGGUGAGUACUUGCCUUAUGUUUUGGAAAGAUCCAAGGCUGUUGAAGUUGAAAAGAAGACAUGAAAUUGUUUAUGUUGGGAAAUGAUCGGAUGAUGGGACAUAGGGGUAAUCCGUGGCAAUCAGUUAAUCUUGAUCAUCCAGCCACAUUUGACACGUUGGCGAUGGAUACGGAUGAUAAAAAGAUGGUUAUCAAUGAUCUUGAGAACUUUGUCCGAAGGAAAGAGCUUUAUAGGAAAGUUGGGAAGGCAUGGAAAAGAGGGUAUUUGCUGUUUGGGCCACCAGGAACAGGGAAAUCAAGUUUGAUUGCAGCCAUUGCCAAUUAUUUAAAAUUUGAUAUCUAUGACUUGGAGCUCACUGAUAUCAGGACCAACUCUGAUCUGAGGAGGUAUCUGAUUUCAACAGCUAAUCAGUCGAUACUCGUCGUGGAGGACAUUGAUUGCUCGAUUGAGCUCACGAACAACCGGCCAAAAGCAUCAAGGGCACCUAUGCACCCUCACCAAUAUGGUCAAAAAAACAGGGUAAGUUUCCAACGUGAUUUGUGCUGCUUUGGAGUAACAUAGCAUUAAAUCUUGCAGUGUGCUUUAUUACGAGGGUAUACAUAUUGCUUCAGUUUUGCCCAUUGCAUGACUCUCUCCUUUGCGUGAGCUGAAAUUGCUUGAUGAACUCUUGACACAUAGACAAACUAGAGUGCUUUGGCAAAUACCAUAUACCAGAAGACUUUAUCAAGCAUAUCUGUUAUCAUACAAGUUGGCAGAAAGUGAUAAUCACGGUUUAAGGCGAUUAAAUUGAAUGUCUAAACAAGUUCCAUCUACAACGGUAUGUCUUAGACUCCUAGCCAGGUACCCAAAUGCCAGUUGCCAUUUCUCGUUAGUGAAGUACCAAGGGCUGGAGAUUCACAGAAUUCCUUGUCAGUCUCUUGGGCUCUGACUUAGAUACUUGCAUAUAUUUAUUACUUUUUUUUUCAGCGACGAUAUAAUUUGUAUUGAUGGGCAAAAGAUGUACACUUAUAUGAGCAAAGGCUCAAGUGAUGCUAUACAAAAGUGCAAAGUACACUGAGGAUUAAUCCAUUCCUCAUCUUGAAAGAUGCCUAAAGCAUAAUCAUUAAUCAAUUUACAUCUAUGAUCUAUAAUCCUAUCCAAACAAAAGGAGCAUUUCUGGAAUAAGGACCUCAGAUUGUUGAUAUCAUCGAUUAAUGUUGCCAUUCUGAUGUCCCUGGUUUUCCUUGAUGUUAUCUCCUUCAUCACUUGGAUGAUGGGGAUACGUACUUUAAUUUCCUGCCACUGCUGUUUUUUGGCCUUGAUGAUGGCCAGCUUAACAGCUUUAGCAGUAACCUGUAGUUGACUUCCUGAGCUUCUAUCAUUCAGUGCCCAAGCUAUUACCACCUGUUUAUUGCUGUUAGUUGCAAUAAUCCCCAUCCCAACUCUGCUUGAAUCUUUCUGCACUUGAGUUGUUACUCGGAUUUGAAUAUCUGCACUCCCCUCUUCUACUGCUACUGCCUCUUCCCUGGCUCCACUGAUAUCAGCAGAGCUCAUUCUCUCAUUCUUUCUUCUGACUGUUACCUGCUCCUGCCAUUCCUGUUGUGCCUUUUGAACAGCUUUCAUUGGAUGUCUUUGUUUGGCAUUAAAAUUCCAAUCAUUUCUAUUUUUCCAGAUUUGCCAGAGUAUAUUUGCUGUCAACUCUAUAUGGGCCAUGCCAUUUAUCCUGCUUGUUGCUCCCAUAACAGCAUUCCACCAAGCUAAAAAGUUCCCUGUAUGCUCUACUACUCCAUCCCAUUGUAUUGGUGACAUAUUCCAUACCUCUUGAGCUUUUCUGCAAUGGAAUCAAUAGAUUCCUCUUGCUCUCCACAUCCUUUGCAGAUUGGAUCACCAGUCAGUUCUUCAAUGUAUUAGUCCAUUGACUGGUAAUGCUCCAUUGAUACACCUCCAAAUAAAGUGUUUUAGCUUGCACUUGACGUCCAGCUUCCACAGUACCUUCCAGGUUUUCCUGCCAGAUUUAGCUGAGCUGGUUUCUCCCUCAGCUCCUCUUCUCUCCUCUUGAUCAGUUAACCCUUUGCACAGUUCCUUGUAGCCUGAUUUGACAGUGUAGGUUCCAUUUUCACUAUGAAUCCAGUAAUUGCAGUCAUCUCUCCCUGAGAUGCAUAUAUUUACUACAGCCAUGGAGAAAUUAGAUUGUCAGCACUCAGCAAAAUCUUUUCUAACUCACCAUCUUUCCAGUUUACCUUGUCUGGAUUGCUGAACUUCAUUGAUGGACUAUGGUCGAGCUGUGGGGAUGAGCGCAUCAUAGUGUUUACAACUAAUCAUAAAGAUAAGCUAGAUCCAGCUUUAUUGCGCCCUGGUCGUAUGGAUGUGCACAUUUACAUGUCGUAUUGCACCCCGUGCGGUUUCAAAUUGCUUGCUUCCAAUUACCUUGGAAUCACAGAUCAUCCACUCUUCUUGGUUGUUGAGCAGCUGAUGAAAGUUACAAAGGUGACUCCUGCAGAAGUAGGGGAGCAGUUAUUGAAGAAUGGUGAGCCUGAUUGAGUUCCUUGAGGAAAAAAAGAAAAAUGUCGAAUUUGAAAAUCAUAAAAGUAAUCAACAAGCACCCGAAGCUGCAGUUCCCCUUGAGCUUGAGGAAGAAGGUGGAAAUGAGGGAGAGACAAACGUAAUCAGCCUUGAAGCAAUCAAAGACCUGGUAAAGAUGAAUAAAGUGUCUCCUGAUGAAGUUCAAGUGAUGAAGAAGGAUGAGGCUGAUAUUAUUUUGAGAGGCUUGAUUCAAUUGCUUCUGGAGAAAAAGGAGACUCAAGUACUGAAAAUAGACUCAGGAUCUUCUGCUGAGAAACUCUCCCUGACCUGAAUUUGAAGGGAGAGGUGGGCAUAAAUGCGGGAGCACCUGAGUAGAGGAGGAUAACAAAAUUCGCAGAUCAUGUCCCCUGGUGCGAAACCAAGUUCAUCGUGUCUCCUGGUGCUAAACUACCUUUGUUUGGAUUGCAGUUUUCUAAGAAAAUAUUUUCACGUUUUUUGCGGAUACAUUUUCGAUUACUUUUUUGAUACAUACAUCAAAUUGCUAUAAUAUAUUUUUCAAGAAAAAACUCCAAAAAAAAAAAAUUAGAAAUCCGAACAUAACUAUUUCGUAUAUUACAACUCUUUCAAGAGCAUUUGAUACACUAAACUUCUAGGGUACUUGGUACGCUAAAAUUCUCAUUAUAUAACAAGCCACAUUAUGAUACAUUUCAAAUUCUCUAGAGGCAGAAAACUAUGAUGUGAUUUGUCUACCACAUAUGGGGCAAAGCACAGAUUAAAGAAAAUGAAGGAAGAACCAGUCUUGGUUCCUCGUAUGAUAAAAUAAUUUCAUUAUUAGUUCCCCAUAUUGCAUCUUUACCAUACAUGAUUCCUUAAGGUAUAAAUAAUUUAACUUUAGUCCUUUACCUUUUAAUUUUUUAAAUUCGGUCUAUGAUCUUUAUGAAAUUUGCACUUCAAGUCCACUCUCCAGCAUCCAAGAUGCCUUUCAAGAGUAUAAUGUUAGAAAUAAAAAGGAUCAAAUAUGUCAAAAAAAAUUAAGAAUUGAAGAUCUAAAUGAGAAGUAUGCAAUUCUUAAGGAAGAAAAUAUUAUCUAAAGUCAAACAUACUAGGCUAUAGUAAGACUAGCCAAGCAUACAUAGGACUAAAAACUGCAAUUUUUACUCGUGCUCUAUCCAUCAAUGUGCUCUUUACCCUUUGCGCUUAGAAUAAAGCUUGAGAGUUGAUACAUGAUUUUUAUAUAUUUCAACUCGUUUAUUGACAUAAAGCUUUAACUUUCAUCUUGUUUCAUACUAGUAAUUGUCAGAGUACCUUAAUUAACUCAAUUGUAAGUAUUUGAAUGUAGAUAUUAAGAGAAAGUUGAAAACAUAUUUCGCUUUUAGAGAAAAUAAGGAAUUUACUUUGCUACAUUAGCCUAGUGAACUCAAAAAAGAUUUUACAACAUAUGACUAUCAUUUUUUGGUGUAUAAAAUGUACAAACGAAUAUUUCUAGUUUAAAGUCUUCGUUUAAAUAGAAUUAAUAUUCUUAUGGAAGAAAUAGCUAGAGAAGUUAGACAUUCAAAUUAGAUAGAAGUAUAAUGUGAAGAAACAUAUUGAUUAUAACAUGUUUGUGUUGAAAAUUGUGCCUUAAAUUUGAGUGUUUUUCAUCCAUUUUUCCUAAGCUUCAUUAAUACAUUGAUUCCCUUUUAGAUUCAUUAGUAGAUUCAUGAAUCUCUUGGAAUUUACUAGUUCUUUCAUAUAACUUCUAAAUUCAUGUACUUGUAAUAAUGAUGGUACGUGUAUAUUCUUGUGCCUUCACACAACUCACUUGGGCGCUCUCCUUCCCACAGUGUAGGAGUAGCGUAAGAUAAAUCUAGAUGCUUAACCCGAAAAAAAAUAUAUGAAAACAAGAAAGAGUCUUGAAGGUGUCCUAAGGCAUUUACAGUGGAUUGCACUCUUUAGAGUUAAAGAGUGCAAUUCAUAUGCUAUAUCAUUACUUUAUUAUCCCCUCUUUCGUUAUAUUAUCACUCACUGUAAAUUACACUCUACAUAGUAGAAUAUCAUGGACCUAUAAUCAAAUCAAGUAUUUAUCUUAAUAGUUCUCAACACAUAUUUCAUAAAUAAAUAAAUCUAUUUUUUGAAAAGUAAUUUCAUUUAUUUUUGGAAAACAAAUUUAUUAACUUUUGUUGAAAUUUUUGCAUUCUAAAAAUUUUUUUUCUAAAAAAAUAAUAUUAUUAAUUUUUGAAAACUAAUAGUAUAUAUUUCUAUGUAUUUCAAAAAUAAUACAUUGUUAUUUUCUAAAAAUAAUUAGAUAAUUAUUAAACAAAUACCCAACACUUUAAAAAAUUAGAUAAGAGGUUAAAGAAAACAAAUGAUACAGUAGAAGAAAUGAUGGAGUGGGAGAGUAAGAAAUUGAGGAAACGUUAACAAUAUUUAUAGACAAAAUUUUGAGAAUUGAAAGUGAAAAAAAAAUACUGAUGAAAUUGAAACAAUGCUACCAUUAUUUUACCAUUGCAAACAUGUUGAAAAUUGGAUUCAAGGGACCACUGCAAAAGUUUUGAAUAAUUGGAUAAAAUGAAACUGUUGCAAAGCUUUGAAUGAUUGGACAAAUUAGACCCACUCUUUCAGCUUUUUUUGCUUCAAUUAUGCAUGUAGUGACUGUUAUGCGUGUAAUAGGCAUUAUAUUCCAAGUCAUGUACUUUCAUAGUUAGGAGUUUAUUCUCGUUGCCCACCAUGUUGAUUGUAGCACUUCAAAGUUGAUUAUAAGUAGGGAUAAUUUCAUAAACGUCCUCUAAGGUUUUAAACAAUUUCACUGAGCUACCUUGAAUUAUUAAAAAUUGUACUUACCGCCCUUGAUUUGAUACAUUUGGUAAUCAAACCUUAGAACUGGUCAAAAAUUUAAAUGAACAUCCUAAAAUGUCCUUGGUUUAUAUAGUUUAUAUUGCUUUCCAAAACAAUUGUAAAAUAUAUAGCAUCAAAUAUUAAAAAAAAAGCAUCAAAUUUUCAAUACCUAUAUUUAUUAUUUAAUAAAUAAUUAUUACAAUAGUUUUAUCACUAUGACAGGCUAUUGUACAUAGUGCUUUACUAGGGAUACAUGUUCCCUGAAGGUUGGAAAAGAAAGUAUUAUCAUAAUUAUUUUAGAGUUUGUACAUUUUUUAAAUGUUAGAGGUGUCAAUAAUUUAGUAGUAGUUUUAGAUAGUUUCUUUUUAAAUCAAUGUUGUUUUUGGUGCAAAGAAAAAAAAGAUCAACAAAAAAUUAGACCAGAUUCAAAGUUGUCAUAAAAAAGGUCACUAAUUUAACAUUUGGUAAUGAUAACGACUAGAAGCAAUAUUUAUAGUUUAUAGUUCUGUAGUUUUACUUGUAAUAUGAAAAAAAAAGAGGAAUAAGAAGAGAAAAAAAAAGAAAAAAUAAUUAUAAAUAUCAUUCUUUCUAUAUGCAUACCCAACAAGGGAGUUUUAUUAAAAUGGUAAGACUACUAUUAUCAUUUUAAAUGGGUAAGGAAGGUAAGUGUAAUUUUUAAAAUAUCAAGAGAUUUCAUUGAAAUUGUUAGAAACUUCAGGGAAGGUUUUUGAAAUUAUUCCUUAAAUUUAAUCAAAAGAGAAUAUGAAAAUAUUCAUGGGACAUAUAUCAAUUAGCCAAGAGGAAAUAGAUGGAUUGGCUGGUUCAGAGAAAAAAGUAUAAAUACGAAAUUUUGAAUUCAAAUCCUCUCCCAACGUAUUAUUUGAGUCUUCAAAAACCUGAGUAGAGUUGCUCACAUAUAAAAAAUGGAGCAAGUAAGAAUCACAAAGCUAGAUAUCGGUUACACAUUAUGAAUGAUAUCUUCUCCCAUCUAAAACAUUGCCCCUAAAUUGAAGGCCGAAACUUGAAUUAAAGAACAAGAAAAGGGAUCGUCCGCUAGCCAUGCUUGACCAGAUCACUAUCCGGGCAAUCUGUCAAAUUCUCCACAUGGACCCCCUGAAUGUGGAAGAAAGAAAUAUAACAAAUGUUUAGAGUCGACUUGAUUAAUAAUAGCCCAGUAACUAGUAUACGCUUGUAUUAACCAGCACAGCCUGUCUCCCAUCUCUCCCAUUUUCCAAAUGGUCCCCCAGGAUGUGGAAGGAAGACUAAUGAGUAAUGAGAAGACUAGAAUUAAUUUCCAAUGGCCCAAGUAACACUGAAAUGGGCAUAUAACUUGUGUUUGAAUAUGAGAUUAUUUGGAAUAAUUUUUUUAAAAAGUAUUAUAUUAUUAAUCGCAUUUAAGUCCUGACUCUUGAAAAGAAGUACAACUACUAAUUAGUAGCAAUUUUCACUUCUUUAAUCCAAUCAAUUUCUUUGACCAUUGUAUAUUGGUAACAUUAAUUUUGCAAGUUAUCGUUUUACUGUUUAUAUUUAUUAUCUUAGAGUUUACAUUUGUUAUUGUAAUGCAUAUAUUUUUUGAUAUAAUUGACACUAGUAAUUGUAGAAAUCCCAAAUUCUCUGCUUCCACAAGCCCUCAAUUAUUUUUUGUCAUACCUUUUACUUUGUUGGUCAUGGUUAUUAAUCUCCAAGAUCAAUGGUCAUGAUUAUUAAUACGAGAUAAUUAGAAGAGAAAGUGAUCAAAUUUAGUGGUUUGCUGAAGAAAGAAAACUAUUGAAGAAAAUUAGAGAGCUAGUAGCUUGAAGGUUCAUUAUAUUUUGAUCAUUUAUAUUGUGACGUCUCUUGGAUCAUUUAUAUUUUGAUGUUUCUUUGUUUUCUGUUCUUCCUAAUUAUAAAGUUCAACAUAUUAAACUGUGGAUGCUUGAAGCAAAAAAAAAAAAAAAAAAUAUUAAAACAGGGACGCGCGAUAAGAAAAGGGAAUACAAUCAUUCCCAAUAAUUCUAUGAAAUCGGACCCACUACUUUAUUGAGGCAAUAAUAUAGAGAAGGGGCUGCUCCGUCUGGACCCACUGCUGUUAUUGUCUUAAAACAUAGGCUUUUAUGUGAUCCCUAAUGACAGAGUCAACUAAUCUUGUUUAUCAAUUUCCUCCAUUUGUAAUUAGUUCAAGAUAAAUUUGGAUUUUGGGUGCCUAGUUGAAUAAUUGAUUAUCAUUGCCUGGGGUCCACCUUGAUGCCAAUUCCACCUAGUUGACUGGUUGGUUGUCUCAAUACACUUCUUCAGCUUCUCACCAGAAACAAAUAAGCCGUUUUCAGGAAAGAAAAACUUUGCUAGCUCUGCAGUUAGUGAGAUUUGUUUCUCUCUUAAAAUUUGAGAGUGAAACUGACGAAAAUCCCUGCAUAAGAGAUGGAGGUGGCCUCCACUUGCAGCAUCGAUUGGCUCUUACAUGAUCUAGAUUUGAUCCUGAACAGCUCAGGAAUAUACCUUUUUGUUCUUUACGAUGUUCGUGAUGCAAUCAAACACUUGAAAUUUCUCAAAACAUUUCUUAUGUGUGCUAGAAAGUGGAGCCAAAGCAAUGAUUUGUACUUGCAAUCUGACAAUGUUGUGAAGAGGGUAAGUCUUCGAUCUUUCUUAUCUUGUAUCGAAGAUACCUUUCACAAAUAUGAGGAGGACAUUCAGUCUCUUUGCCUUAGAUUAGAAACGGAGGACAUUCACAAAUCUAUUGUUGCUCAUGGAGUGUUACACGAAAUUGAGAAAGAGAUCAUAUCACUCAAGCAAGAAAUCAUCCAAAUUUACUUUGCUUUGGCAAGCAGCAGGUCAUUUCAAUCAAAUUCUUGUAUGACAGAUGAUGAACUGUUGGAAUUCAUAGACCUCAUCCUGCAAAAUCUAGCAGAUUUGGCAUAUGACGAUAUGAAUUGGAAAAUUACUAAAUCGUCUAUUUAUGCUGCUUUGAGUGCUCAAGUCCAAGAUCUUGAAGCAAAGCUGACAUUCUUGAAAAGCUUCAUUCCCUUUGCCAAAAUGCGAGGAACCGCAGAUAUUCCUGCCUUGCUAUUGGCUCACUUUGAAGUGGUGGCUUUGACCGCAGCACGCCUCUCUUACAUGUGGUCCUUUUGGGAUGAUUUUGAGGCAAUUCACAAUCCUGGGUUAUACUACAGAAGUACUCGCAGCUUCGAACUCCUCAGCAUCAGAGCGGUUGAUUUUCAUGUCUACGAGAUUUAUAAGGAAGUACUUGCAGCUUCAAACUCCUCAGCAUCAUUACAUACAGCAGUGAUGGAUGAGCGGAUAUUGAACAACUUCAAUGAUUCUCUGAUAAGCCGUCUCUGGGAGUUGUUAUGCUGCAGCUCUAGCUUUGUGGAUUCUAUGAAAGAUGAAAUGCAAAAACUCUAUGCAGGACUGAGGUUUUUGAGAAGCAUUUUAAGGGAGCAUCAUGAGAUGAUGGAUGAACAAAAUGAAAAAAUUGGAGCUCUCCUGGGUGAGGCAGGCAUUAUAAUAUUCUCGCCCACUCUGAGCAGAGUGAUAGAAGGAGAAGUUAGCUUCUCAGGAUCCACCCAGGUUCUUGAUUUUUGUGAUAUGCUGGCCAAUACCAACAUCCAUAUCAAACAUUUUAAGGAUCAGCUCAGUGUCUCAAGUACUAUAGAGAGUCUUCCUAAUUCCUCUCAUAGCUUAAGAGCACCAGAAGUUAGCCAGACUUCCAGCCGCAUGCUAUCAAAAGGUAAAAUGCCAAUAGACCAUGAAGUCAUGGUUGGUCUUGAUGAUAAGGGAGAACAAGGAAUUGAACCACUUAUCAAGCAUUUUAAGGAUCAGAUCAGUGGCUCAAGUACUAUACAGAGUCUUCCGAACUCCUCUCAUAGCUUAAGAGCACCAGAAGUUAGCCAGACUUCCAGCCGCAUGCUAUCAAAAGGUAAAAUGCCAAUAGCUCGUGAAAUCAUGGUUGGUCUUGAUGAUGAGGCAGCAAAAGUAUUUGAACGACUUAGAUGGGGAUCAGAACAGGUGGAAAUUGUUCCCAUUGUGGGAAUGGCUGGGCUUGGUAAGACGACUUUAGCCAAAAAAGUUUACAAUAAUAUUUCAGUAACCUGUCACUUCCACAUUCGUCUUUGGUGCACUGUUUCUCAAGAAUUUAACAUGAAAAAUGUGUUACUUCAAAUUUUGUGCUCUGAUGGCAAACAUUCUAGGAAGGAUGAGUUUCAAAAUCUGGAUGAACAUGCGUUGCUUGAAAAGCUCCAUCAAAGGCUAUUGAAGAAUCGGUAUCUUGUUGUUUUUGAUGAUGUCUGGGACAUUGAGGUAUGGAAUGAGCUGAGAACUGCAUUCCCCAAUGACAAGAAUGGAAGUAGAAUCAUCUUUACGAGUCGAUUUUCUAAUGUAGCUUCAGAGGUUCAAUAUGGUGGAGAACCUCACAAGAUUCGCCGCCUUACUGUCGAAGAGAGUUUCGAAUUGCUGCAGAAGAAGGUGUUUGGAGAAGAAGAAGAAUGUCCUCAAGCAUUGCAUGAAUUGGGAAUGGCGAUUGCCAAAAAGUGCAGGGGAUUGCCACUUGCACUUGUUGUUGUAGCUGGAGUCCUGGCAACUAUAGAGCAUGAUAUUUGUGUUUGGGAAGAAUUUGCUGAAAGUUUUACUUUGACCAUGGUGUCUGGUGCAGACCAGUGCAAGAAGUCCUUGGAGCUCAGUUUUGAGCAUUUACCAUACCACUUGAAGGAAUGCUUGCUGUAUUUUGCUGCAUUUCGAGAAGAUGAAAAAAUUGGUGCCAAGAAGUUGAUGUGUCUAUGGAUUGCAGAAGGAUUUGUGGAAAUAAUUGAAGGAGAGAAAUCAGAGGAUGUUGCAGAAAAAUAUCUGAUGGACCUAAUUGGCCGAAACCUAGUUAUGGUAGGUAAGAACAGAUCCAUUGGUGGAGUGAAAACUUGUUACAUUCACGAUUUGAUAUUUGAGUUCUGUAAGGGCAAGGCGAAAGAAAAGAAAUUCCUUCAGGUCCUGCGAGGAUAUGAUGAGCUUUCUACCUUUAAUGAGCCUCCCAACCUACCUCGGUUGUCCAUUUGCUCCAGUGGCAAAGAUUUUAUGAAGUCAAAGCUAUUUUGUCCGCAUUUAGGUACUCUGCUAUUCUUUGAAGUUACUUCAGUAUAUGACAAGUUUGUAUUCACAAACAUCUCAUUCCUUUUUUGUAUCUACAAACAUCUUGAAGUUUUGAAUUUAGGGAACAUUAACCUAAGGUUGAAGGAGCUUCCAACUGAAGUCGAAUCACUUCUUUGUUUGAGGUACUUAGCCCUUACAGCUUGGACAAUGGGAUUCAUUCCACCAUCUAUAGCCAAUCUCUCACAUUUGGAAACCUUUUGUCUAAAUUCUGGUGAGAUUGUUUCAUUGCCAGAUAGCAUCUGGAACAUGAAGAAGUUGAGGCAUAUACAUGUA